AAAGAAAAAUAGUACUUAUUAUGCCACAUAAACAGGAAAUUUAAAUAAAAUAAAAUUCAUCAAGAGAAAUAAUUAUUUUUAUUAAAUGGGAGGUUAAAAAUAUUAAAAUAGAUUGUAAAGAUAAUAAAUCUUCCUUUCUUUGCAAUUAUUGAAACUGAAAAAAUAAACCAAAGUAACAAUUUUGUCAAGGUUAUGUAGAUUCCGAUUUUGAGUUGAUCCAGUAAAAAUUGAUUUUAGUAGGGAAGAUCACAAUUUGAUUUCCUACCCUUGUAAUUAAAGAAGAGUUAGAAUUUUUUGAAGUCAAAAUUUAUCUCUAAACUGAAUUUAUUGAUCCAGUAAAUCGGAUAUUAAUGGUGGAAAAAAAUAAUAACUAUGCGACAGUUUUGUUAUGCAUUUAACAAUUUAACAGUUUGUCUCUUAAGUCAAUUCAAGUUAAUGUUAGAAAUUAUAAUAACGUAUAAGGUAUAAAAAAGUUUGUAAAGAGUAUAAUGAAUAGAAAAAUAGGUUAUAAUUUUGUUCUAUAUAAACCAUUGAAACUAGUUUAUCCAUAACAUUUCUUUUUCCUGAUUAUAUUAUUUUGAAGCUUUUUGAAAUGGCCAAGUAUUCUUUCAUGCUAAUUAUCUUUUUUAUCUUCAUAUUUUCAGGUAUAUUAUUUCUUGUCUAACCUUUUGUAUAUAUAUUCGCCUUAGUUCCUCCGUUUCAGAACUAUUAAUAUUUGACUCUCUUCCUAGUCUUGCCCCGUGUGACUGAUGGUGUUUAAAAAUUUAAAAGGUACGAAGCACAGAGUACAUAUUUAUAUAUUUAGGUUAGCUGUGUAGCAGAGCCCGACAUAUAUCGGUGCUUCGCAUUUGUAUGGUUCUUGAUUUUGUUACUUUCUAUUUUGUUUAUGACAUCAUUCAUAUAUUUACAUAUUUAUAUGGUUCUUGAUUUUGUUAUUUUGUUGCAUUAUCAUUAGGGUCCGAAUAUAUUGAGAAGGUGAGAGUAAUGUGGAACAAGAUAAAACAAAAUAAUUUUAGGAUUAUGGUAUGUUUGUUAUAUUAGGUUUCAUUAGCAUCAGAAUCUGAAUCCUUUGGUUUAUUUCUAUCGUUGAAAUAAUAUGCAUCGGUAGAAUCUUGUUGGAAUUCAUUUUGAUUUCUUUUUAUUUGCGAAUGGUAACUUAAGCGAAACUGAAUCAUGGAAUUUUAUAGAUAAUGUUCAAUUUCGUUGGUAGAACUUGUUCAACGAAUCUGAAGCACGAGUUUCUAUUAAUCCUGUUGAGACGAGCUAGUUAGAUAUGACUAGUUGACUUAAGAAAAAAGUUACUACAAUAUUUUAUAUAUGACUGGUUUUGCAUUAUUGUUUGUGUUUAUCGGACGUGAGAGUUAUUUUUUUCUAAACGCAGCAUACAAAAUCACUCACAUAUGUUUUGUGAGCAUCAUACUCAAUUAAAGUGUAGAAUCCAAGUAUAGAUCUAAAUGAAGAUAACUACAUUCACACACACACGAUGGUGGGGUCUGGUUAGUAGUUAGCCUAUAUUAAAAGUCAAUAUCAUGAAUAUGAAAAGUCAUACCAACUGAUUCAUUGAUUCAUUUACUCCAUAAUGUUGAAAAAGUACUUGCAGUUAACUACAAAGAACAUGAAAAAGUAUCAUUAUAAAAACAGAAAAUUUGGUUUAGAGUUCUUCAAAGUUUCUAUUUAUUAGUACCAUAUAUAUUAUUAUUAUUAUUAUUAUUAUUAUUAUUAUUAUUAUUAUUAUUAUUAUUAUUAUGAAAGUAAACUGAUAUUUGUAUCCAAAACAAAGAUAAAUUGUGAGUGCCCUGAUUUAGGUUAGAGAUAAUCAGGUUAGAGAUACAUUAUUAAGCGAUUUUGCACAAAGCGAUUUUGCACAAAUUCUGUUUUAUUUAUACAAGGGAUUUUAUUUUUACAGGAAAUGUCAACAAAAGGAUCAUCUAAACUAAAGACUUUGUGCACAUUGUGGAAAGAUUUAGAUGAACCUUUUAAAGCAUAGAUUAACAAUAGAAUAGAAAAUUAUGGUGAAGGUUAUAAACUCUUAAGAGUUUUAAGGCUUGUCCAAGAUAACUCAUGUGAAUUUUCAACAUCAUUGUUUGGAUUGUUCAUGAGUUAUUAUGGACUCCAAGAAAAUUAUUAUUGUUUUCAUGUUUGUGGUCAAAACAUGAACGUCACAUUGGAGGACGUUCUGUUUUUGACCAACUUGCCCAUUACGGGUCGAGCACUUAUAUCUUGAAGCAAUAGAGACCAUAUGGCUUUUAACAGAAUUUUUUCUUUACCUGUCACUCAUAAACUUAAGUUAACAGUGUUGAAAUUUUUUUGCUGCGAUAUUAAUAAAAAUGAUGAUGAUAGGAUUAAGGUCGUCAUCCUCAUGAUCGUGUCAUGUCUGAUCAUUCCAAGUGGGGAUGGACAAAAUUUCAAAACCACCUACGUCCAAUUUAUUGAAAAAUUUGACGAAGUUGACUCCUAUGCUUGGGGAGCGGCAAUAUUGUCCCAUCUAUAUCAAGGUCUGAAGGAGAAUAAUUUACGGAAUAAGAAAGUUGACGGCUUUGUAUGGCUGAUAAUGGUAAGUGCAUAUUUUUUCUUAUAUCUUCUUUUUUCUUACCUCUUUGUUUGAUAACUUUUUAACCAACUUUAUUUUCAUAGAGAUUCUUCAUUUAUCAUUUUAAAGGUCUUUAUGAAAUCCUCAAUAUUAAUGCAAUUAAUGCGGAGGAAGAUCAUAUGCCUAAUACGCCACUAUUGGCAUAUUUGAUAAAAGAUAUUUUCAAACUCGGCCAAAACCGCCACACAAAACCUCAUCAUCAAUUAGGACAAAAGUUUCAGUUGAUACGUAACUUCUUGGAUAUGGAUCAUGAGGUAAGAAAUGAUUUAUAUAGCUUAUGUAGGUUGUGAUUUUGUGGGAUAAUGGUUGGUUAAUUUUUAGAUCAGUUGAUACGUAACUUCUUGGAUAUGGAUCAUGAGGUAAGAAAUGAUUUAUAUAGCUUAUGUAGGUUGUGAUUUUGUGGGAUAAUGGUUGGUUAAUUUUUAGUUUGUUAUCUUUAUCUUUUGUUUAUUGUAUAACACAGGAUAUAGAAAAUUUUCCUAUUACUUGGCAUCCCUAUACUGAACAAAUGCUGCCUCCCGACCUGCAUGAUCAUAUUCAAUACCGUACUAUCGUCGCCCCAUUGUUUUGCUACAACCAUGUGGAGCCUUAAUAUCCAAAUGUUGUAGCAAAACAGUUCGAGGAACUUUAUGAUAUUAACUUGAUCGGUGUUGGAUCUGAUAUGUGAGUGAUUAUUUCAAAGGGAAAUAAAGGAAAUAAUCCCAUCAAUUUUAAAGCACAUUUUAAAAAAGAGCUGAGACAAUGGGAGGAUAUCGAUAGGCGGUAUGCACAAAACUUCCAGACUAUUGAAGCAUCAACUUCUGAGACGGCAGAUGAUAUUGAAGCAUCCACUUCCGAGACGGCAAGUGAUCACCAAUCACCCAAUAUUGAGAAUAGCACUAGUGGAGGUAAAAUAUUUAAUUAUGUUAUGGUUUUAGUUUACUUAUUACUAUUCAUUAGUGUGGUGCAUGUUAUCUUAUGAAUAUAUAAUUACGUUUUUAAUUAAGAAAAUGUUGUUUUUGAUUUGCCAAAUUUUAACAAUGUGAUAGAUGCAUGUGAGAUGUUGGUUGUUGAUUUUGAAAAAUAUGAGAUUACCAUACUAUCGUCGCCCCAUUGUUUUGCUACAACCAUGUGGAGCCUCAAUAUCCAAAUGUUGUAGAAAAACAGUUCGAGGAACUUGGUGAUAAUAACUUGACCGGUGUUGGAUUUGAUAUGGGAGUGAUUAUUUCAAAGGGAAAUAAAGGCAAUAAUCCCAUCAAUUUUAAAGAACAUUUUUAGAAAGAGCUAAGACAAUGGAGGGAUAUCGAUAGGCGGUUUGCACAAAACUUCCAAACUAUUGAAGCAUCCACUUCUGAGACGGCAGGUGAUAUUGAAGCAUCCACUUCCGAGACGGCAAGUGGUCACCAAUCACCCAAUAUUGAGAAUAGCACUAGUGGAGGUAAAAUAUGUAAUUAUGUUAAGGUUUUAGUUAUGAAUAAUGAUAAGUAAUCAGCAGUGCAUGUUAUCUUAUGAAUAUAUAAUUACGUUUUUAAUUAAGAAAAUGUUGUUUUUGAUUUGCCAAAUUUUAACAAUGUGAUAGAUGCAUGUGAGAUGUUGGCGGUUGAUUUUGAAGCAUAUGAGAUUACCGUACUAUCGUCGCCCCAUUGUUUUGCUACAACUAUGUGGAGCCUCAAUAUCCAAAUGUUGUAGCAAAACAGUUCGAGGAACUUGAUGAUAUUAACUUGACCGGUGUUGGAUCUGAUAUGGGAGUGAUUAUUUCAAAGGGAAAUAAAGGCAAUAAUCCCAUCAAUUUUAAAGCACAUUUUAAAAAAGAGCUGAGACAAUGGGAGGAUAUCGAUAGGCGGUUUGCACAAAACUUCCAGACUAUUGAAGCAUCCACUUCUGAGACGGCAGGUGAUAUUGAAGCAUCCACUUCCGAGACGGCAAGUGAUCACCAAUCACCCAAUAUUGAGAAUAGCACUAGUGGAGGUAAAAUAUUUAAUUAUGUUAUGGUUUUAGUUAUGAAUAAUGAUAAGUAAUCAGCGGUGCAUGUUAUCUUAUGAAUAUAUAAUUACGUUUUUAAUUAAGAAAAUGUUGUUUUUGAUUUGCCAAAUUUUUACAAUGUGAUAGAUGCAUGUGAGAUGUUGGCGGUUGAUUUUGAAGCAUACGAGAUUAUCGUACUAUUGUCGCCCCAUUUUUUUGCUACAACUAUGUGGAGCCUCAAUAUCCAAAUGUUGUAGCAAAAAAGUUCGAGGAACUUGAUGAUAUUAACUUGACCGGUGUUGGAUCUCAUUUGGGAGUGAUUAUUUCAAAGGGAAAUAAAGGCAAUAGUCCCAUCAAUUUUAAAGCACAUUUUAAAAAAGAGCUGAGACAAUGGGAGGAUAUCGAUAGGCGGUUUUCACAAAACUUCCAAACUAUUGAAGCAUCCACUUCCGAGACGGCAGGUGAUAUUGAAGCAUCCACUUCCGAGACGGCAAGUGAUCACCAAUCACCCAAUAUUGAGAAUAACACUAGUGGAGGUAAAAUAUUUAAUUAUGUUAUGGUUUUAGUUAUGAAUAAUGAUAAGUAAUCACCGGUGCAUGUUAUCUUAUGAAUAUAUAAUUACGUUUUUAAUUAAGAAAACUGUUAAUUUUUGAUUUGGCGGUCAAUUUUUAACAAUGCUCUAGAUGAUUAUGUGAGAUGUGGGCGGUUGAUUUUGAAGCUCCAUAUGAGAUUCCGGUAACAUAGCACUCCAAGCAUAGGAGUCAACUUCAUCCAAUUUUUCAAUAAAUUGGACGUAGGUGGUUUUGCAAUUUUGUCCAUCCCCACUUGGAAUGAUCAGACAUGACACGAUCAUGAGGAGGAUGACCUUGAUCCUAUCAUCAUCAUUUUUAUUUAUAUCGCAGCAAAAAAAUUUCAACACUGUUAACUUAAGUUUAUGAGUGGCAGGUAAAGAAAAAACUCUGUUAAAAGAAAUAGGGUCUUUAUUGCUUUCAAAUAUAAGUGCUCGGCCCGUAAUGGGCAAGUUGGUCAAAAACAUGACGUCCUCCAAUGUGACGUUCAUGUUUUGACCACAAACAGGAAAACAAUAAUAAUUUUCUUGUAGUCCAUAAUAAAUCAUGAACAAUUCAAACAAUGAUGUUGAAAAUUCAGAUGAGUUAUCUUGGACAAGCCUUACAACUCUUAACAGUGUAUAACCUUCACCAUAAUUUUCUAUUCUAUUGUUAAUCCGUGCAUUAAAAGGUCCAUCUAAAUCUUUCCACAGUGUGCACAAAGUCUUUAGUUUAGAUGAUCCUUUUGUUGACAUUUCCUGCAAAAGAAAAAUCCCUUGUAUAAAUAAAACAAAAUUUGUGCAAAAUCGCUUCGUGCAAAAUCGCUUAAUAAUGUAUCUCUAACCUGAUUAUCUCUAACCUAAAUCAGGGCACUCACAAUUUCAUCUUUGUUUUGGUAAAAUAUCAGUUUAUUUUCAUAAUAAUAAUAAAAUAAUAAUAGAUAUAAGAAAUAAUAUAAUAAUAAUGAUAAUAUAAUAAUAACAAUAAUAACUAAUAAAUAGAAACUUUGAACAACUCUAAACUGAGCGGGGUAUUCGUUACCUUUAGAUUUAUUGACUAAAUCAAAAGUAAGCAUACAAUUUGAGUCGUCACCGCACUUCUAUUAAGGUUAGAAAAGCGAACAAAAACCGAGAAGUUUUAUCAAAUCAAAACUAAUAAAAAAGUCAGAGAUCUGGGUAAGGGGGUUGGUUAUGCAAUGGGAAGGUUUUAAGGCACCCAAAACAUCCUAGUACUCUAAGGGAACCCUUUUUGCAAGAUGUAUUGUGGUUGGUAUUUGUGAAAAUAUUUGUGCAAACAGAGGAUGGGAGAUGAGAAAAGAAUAUACAUAUUUACAAUUUUGUUGUUUGAAUGGAUAAACCCAUUGUCUACGUACCAUCCACAAAGAUAGGAUCAAAACUAGUAGUUCGGGGUAAAAUCUCAAAGAUUGGUGAAUUGUUUGGACAAAGCCUUAAGGUCUUUUGUUAUCAAGGGAGAAAACUCAACCUAAACCAACAAUCCACCAUGUGAGGAGGGCUUCAACAUACUAGUGAGGGAUCCACCCUAAUAAUAAGUAUGGAAGACUUAUAUCCAAUCACUAAGGAUAAGGUGAGGUUACAUCAAACCACUAUGAUAACUCAAACCCAUGGCUAAUGUUUAUGAAAAAGUUUUAACAAGGUGGCCAUUGGAACCACAAAAACACUUUGAAAUGAGUUGUAUUUACAAGUUAGAAAUAUUUACAAAAUGUAGUCAAAGUACGAUUAAGGUUCAUUCAAGAUAAGUAUUAACGAAAAGGGUUUGAAAGAUCAAAGGCAUGUGGCCUAGGUUCUAGUUUUGAAAACAAUGUCAAUGUUUGCACAAAAUGAGUUGGCUUGGGUUAGAGUGAGGAGAGAAAGAAGGGCUAGUCUAAAACAUGCAAAGAUGAGAGAAGAGAUAAAACCCUUGAGUUCCUUUCUUGAGAUCAUAAAGUGAUUCAGAAAUGCUUCUUCCUUUGGACAUAGCAAGCAACAAGCAAUCAAAGUAAAUAUUAUAUUCAAGCCCCUAGGAUCUCCAUUUGACUUGUCUCUCUAAACUUGGCUAUUCAUGACAAUGGUCUUCUUACUAUCUCAAGUUUGGAUUCCCUAUCACACAAGAACAAACAAUCAAAAAGUUCACAAUGCAAUAAGAGGAAUGGACAAAGAGUGAAUUUAGAUUAGGGGUCAUUUCAAGUCAACUUCAAGAUUAAGCAUUCUAAAGGCAUGAGGCCUUGUUGCUCUUCAACAAGUUUAGCAUUCUAAAGGCAUGAGGUCUAGUUGCUCUUGAACUCCAUUAAGCAUAGGUAAAGUCCUAAUUCUGAGUCUUUCUCCUUUUUGCAUUGGGCUCACACAAACAAAGAUAAAACAAGCACAAGCAACAAUAUAUUACAUAAUAAUGUGCUCAAAUGAGCAAAGGGAAAAUGGCAGAAACAUAAAAUAUCAUCUCAAGUGAGCAAAGGGAAAAGGCAAUAUGAAUAAAUGAGCAAGAAAGUAAAUGCAUUAAGUAAAGAAAGAUCAUUCUUAAUUCCAACAUAUUACAAUAUGAAAAAAAAACAUCAGAUAAAACAAAAAUAUCUGCAGAACCAUAGAAAACAAAACCAUAGAAGGGAAAAUAGUAUCUUUAUCAUAUAGAUAGACCAUUAUAUUUUGGAUGUUGUGAAAAAUUGUUUCGUUGUCCCCUCUCAUCAGAUCAAUGAUUUAUUGGUGGAUAAGCCUAGAAUCUAUAGAUCAAUGAGGUUAAUAAAGUGAAUUACAAUUUAAAAGCUAAAAAUUCAUAUUUUUUUAAUUAGGUAUGGUUGCAUUUUUUGUUUCACACUUUAAUAUUACUAGAGAAAUAUGGAAGUCUGCUCAAGUUACCCAUGAUGGUACACACAAGAUUGAAGGGUUAGGAUUAACAUAUUAAUCAAUGGAAAAAUAAUAGCUUAGAAUGAAACCUCAAGAAAAUCUAAGAUAUGCAAAAUUGUUUCAUGCAUAUAUUACUUCACUUAAGAACUUUGAGUAAAUUUUUACAAUUUGGAUUUAACUAAAAAAAGUCCUUAGAUGUUUAAAGAUAUGGAGUCUAAAUAUUCGUCUUCUAUGAAUUUGACUACUCUAUUGGUAAAUUGCAUGAACACGAGACAUAACUAACAUAUUGCUGAACGAGAGAAGGUGGAAAAAAUACUUGCGCUAAGAUAUAAAGGUUAAAGAUAUGGAGUCAGAAAAUUAAAUUUCCAAAAUGAAAAUGAUGAAAACUUGGAUCUUCUAUUUUUUCAAAUUCAAAAAAUUUCCAUGGAAUAGAAAAUAAACCUCCAAACAUUCAAAAUCAAAGUAAAGAAAGAUCAUUCUUAAUUCCAACAUAUUACCAAUGUGAAAAAAAAACAUCAGAUAGAACCAAAAUAUCUGCAGAACCAUAGAAAAUUUUAAAUAUACAGAAUACCACAAAAAUCAAAAGGAGUUUAUGUUUAAUAGAUGAAAACAACAUUGACUCCUCCAAUGACCGAGAAAAAGGGAAGAAAGCAACUUGUCUUCCAUGGAAAAUCACAAAAAAAUAAAGUAAAUAUUAUAACUUUUCACUUUAUUUAUUUGCAUUCUUCUCAAUUUGUAAGAGUUAAAUAAUAAAUAAGUAAUUAAAAAACAUUGUUAUUGUGUCUAAAAGACUAUCUCCUCUAUUGAAAAUGAAAAUGAAAAUGAAAACUAGAAGAGGAAAUAAUUCGUCUUAAAGAGAAAAUAAUAAUUAAAAUUCAAGACAUCCCUCUGUUCCUUAUGAUAAUAAAUUUAAAAAUCUAUCAAAUGUGUAAAUUGCAAAGUGUUAGAUUUUAUUUUUUGAAAUAUUUCAUAACACACAUGAUAAAAUCAAUAAAGAGAAAGAUAAUUGGAAUAUCAUUUUAGAUAAUCAAAAUGGAAUUUUAAAGAUUUUGUAACUCAAAUGAGAUUGAUAAUCAUAAUGCAUAAAUACACUUAUUGUAAACAUGAUCUAAUUUCACCUCUUGUUUUAUAAGGAAAAAUCAUGAAACUAGUAUGAAAGGGACUUCUAGAAAUAGAAUGAUUUCGCUAGAAUAAGGCAAAAUGAUAAAAAAUGAUUUGUGUACCAAAGAUCAAGACAUAUGUUUUGAUAUAUGUGUGUUUUAAACUCAAAUUCAAAAUGGUAUAUCAAUAGUAAUUGUUCAAAGCAGGUGACAAAAACAAAAAUAGUCAUCAUCUUAUACUCCAAGAGGUGAUGCCAAAACAUUAUGGUGACAAAAUAAAGUAAAUGUGUUGGUUCUAGUAUGUUUGAUAAGAGUUCAAAUCUUACUUUUGAGUUGUAUUAUUUUGAAAGUAAUAUAACAAAUUACUAGUAUUAAAAAAAAGUGUGACAAUAGUAAUGACAUAUGCCUGAUUCUUCUAUGUGGAGAAUCAUAAAAUUGGAAAACAAUUUUAUUUUAAAGUAAACUUUUUUCAAGAAAAAGAAUAUCAUAUCUAUAGAAAAUUCAUACAUAAUACAUUUUAUAAAUAAACCUCAUAUUUAAACUAAGAACAAACUUCUUAGAAGAUAAAUAUAUAGACGAAGAAUAAACUUCUUAGAAGAUAAAUACAAAAAAAGAGAACAAAUGCAAUAAGGGACAACCUCAAAAGGGAGUGAUUAAGACCAACCCUAAAUAAAUGAUAAGGAUAUGAAAAUCUAAAAGUGAAUGUUCCAUUUCAAAUAUCAUCAUGGUUAUCUCUAUAAACAUUGAAAUUUUUAUUUUACUCUGACAUAAUCACAUCAUUCACAUAUUUAAAUCACUUAGCAUUUAGUUAUCACUUGUUUAAUAUACACAUUAGGGCGUGCCUAUGAAUGUUUUUGUUUUUGUGAUUUUGUUUCUUUCAAAUUCUUUGAUUUGUUUUGCAAAUUCUCUUGUCAUAUUUGACCUCUUGGAUGAUAACUUUCAUUUAUGUUUUGUCAUAUUUGCUAGAGAUUAUCACAAACUUGAUUGGAUUUGUUUAUUUAUUUUAGAACCUGAUGAUAUACAUAACUAAUACAUUUCUUGAAUGAGUAGUAAGGGCAUUAUUAUUAUUAUUUAUUAUUAUUAUUAUUAUUAUUAUUAUUAUUAUUAUUAUUAUUAUUAUUAUUUGUGUUCUUUCUUAGAUGAUUGUGGCCCUUUUUGAAUUUUUCAUUAUUGUCGAAAUUAUGGUGAAAGUGAAAUAACUCCAUAUUCUUCUAGAAGUGCUUCUAUCAUGGAAGACUUUACAAAAAUAUCGAAUACUUAACUGAAUUGCUUGAAAAUAAAAUAGCUUAUCAAUUAAAGAGCGUGAUAUUUUAAAAUUUCAAGGGAGAGAAGGAGAAUUCUAGCUAGGCAAUUUGAUGAUUGAGAUGAAUUAAAAUAAACUUUGAGAAAGACAUACAUCAUCUCAUUAUUAAAGGGAACUCCAUAAAAGAAUCCAAAGGAUAAUAAGUAAGGUCAAGAGUGGAGAGAAUACAUAGAGACUUUGAGAAUUCCACUAUAACAUUAGAGAGGAUAAGAUAUUAUAAGAGUUAGGUUUAAACUAUGAGAUUAAAGAUGUUAUUGAAUUUGUUCAUAAUUAUAGAAGUUUGUUCAUAUGUCAUCCACUUAAUAAAAUAUUCCUCAAACAAGAAAUUAUCGCAUUGAAAGGACAAACACAAGAGGGAGGAGAUUCUACACUAACAUUGGCUAAGAAAGAAGUUUUUAAAUGAAAUGUUUGAAAUAUUUAACAACGGUCACAUAAAAUCAAUUACUCAAAGAAAAAUAAUGAUUGAAAAAAAAGUACUUAUUAUACACAUAAAACGGAAAUUUAAAUAAAAUAAAAUUCGUCAAGGAAAUAAUUAUUUUUAUUAAAUUGGAGGUUAAAAAUAUAUAAAUAGAUUGCAAAGAUAAUAAAUUUCCUUUCUUUGCCGUUAUUGAAACUGAAAUAAUAAACCAAAGUAAUAAUUGAUGUUGAUUUUAGUAGAUAUCAUAAUUCGAUUUUUACAGUUGUAAUUAAAAAAAAUAUAGUUUUACGACAGUUUUGUUAUGCAUUUAACAGUUUUUCUCUUAAAUCAAUUUGAGUUAAUGUUAGAAAUUAUAAUAACGUAAAAGUUAUAAAAAAGUUGGUAAAGAGUAUAAUGAAUAGAAAAUAUGUUAUAAUUAUGUUCUAUAUAAACCCUUGAAACUAGUUUAAUCAUAAAUUUUUUUCCUGAUUAUAUUUUGAAGCUUUUUGAAAUGGCCAAGUAUUCUUUCAUGCUAAUCAUCUUUUUAUCUUCAUUUUUCAGGUAUAUUUUUAUAUUAAAAUUUGUAACAUUUAACUAUAUUAUUUUUAUAUUAAAAUUUGUAGCAUUUCUUAUCUAACCUUUUAUAUAUAUAUAUAUAAUAUAUAUAUAUAUAUAUAUAUAUAUAUAUAUAUAUAUAUAUAUAUAUAUAUGACAAUAAUGAAUACAAAUGUCAUUUGAAAGAAUACAUUAUUUUACAUUGAAUCUUGUGUGUAACUUCCCACUUCUGUUAGGCUAUGAAAUAAUAUUUAAAAAAAAAUUUAAGUUAAAUAUUCAAUUUUCAGAUGUCAUCUCAUUUAAUUAUUAAUAUUCACACUUUUUAAGUUAAAAUUUUGAAAUUUAGAUAUUAUCUCAUAUUCAAAUAUUAAUAUUGUUAAAUAAUUAAGUUUGAGAUAUCAUCUCAUAUUUAAAUGUCAAUAUUCACAAUUUUUAAAGUUAAAUACUAAAUUUUUAGAUAUUAUUCUUAUUCAAAUAUUAAUAUUUACGACUUUUUAAGUUAAAUAAUCAAAUUUGAGAUACCAUCUCAGAUUCAAAUAUUAAUAUCACAUUUUUAAAAUCAGAUAUUCAAAUUUCAAAUAUCAUCUCAUAUUCAAUAUUAAUGUUACAAAUUUUUAUGUUAAAUAUUAUAAUUUUAGAUUAUGCUAUUAAUAUCUCACUUUAUUAAGUCAAAUGUCUGUAAUUUUACACACAAUAUACCAACAAAACACAAAAGUAUUGAAAGAUUUGAAAAUAAUAUAAUAUUUAAAAUUUAAAACGUGGGUAUAUGUUUCUUAAUGAUUUUGAUUUAAAUAACAUUUAAUGUUUGUAUUUGAAAAUAUUAUUCCUUCUCCAAUAUUGUUCAAAGAAAUAUAACUUUUCUAAAUACUUUUUCUUUAGUUGUUUUUUCAUGCUAAUUAUGCUCUUUUUUUUACAGUCAUAUCAAUGACAAAUGGAUAGACAGACCAAGAGAAUGUUUUAAAACUCGUGAGGGACAAUGCAUCCUUAAUGCGUGUGGAGCAUGGUGUUAUCAAAUUUAUAAGGGUUAUGGAACUUGUAUACAAGGUGGUACAGAUCCUAUAACCCAAUUUAUAAAUGUAUUUGUAGAUAUAUUGUUGCCACCUAGAAUUAAAAACAUCACCUUUAGAUCAUAUUUUUAAAUGUAGAAGAUAUCAGAAUAAAGAUGAUAAAUUUGAGGCAAUUCAAUUAUUGAUAGUUUAUUUAAGUGUUUCUUAUAUUUAUUGUAAUUCAAGACAAAAAAAUAAAUAUAAGAUUGUUUUAUUUUAUGAAAUUUUGAUUAUAGUAUAAGCCUUUUAUCUCAAAAGUGUUGAAAAAUAUAUAACAAAACAAUGAAAAAAUUUAUUUGGUUUAAUUUAAUCUUUAAAAGUAAAGUCAAUCUCUUAAGAAAUAAUUAAAAGUCUAAUCAUCCAAUGAGGAAUACUCCAUGUUAGAGUUUUGAAUCAGGGUUCAUGGAGAUAUUAGAUUGAGAUGAAGAUGAUAGUUGGUUAACCUUUACAUUGUUUACGAGAUCCUAUUUAUACAAGUAGCAUUUUAGUGAUAGAGUUUGAUUCAUGUAGUAACUAACUUCAUAAGAACAUUAACUACAAUUUUAACUACUUAAGCAAACUUACAUCUAACAUUUUUCCAAUACUCCCUCACAUACAUAUGGCGGAUGGAAUGAAAACACCUUGAGUUUGGUUCAUUAACUACAAUUUUAACUACUUAAGCAAACUUACAUCUAACAUUUUUCCAAUACUCCCUCACAUACAUAUGGCGGAUGGAAUGAAAACACCUUGAGUUUGGUUCAAAAAUCAGAAAAUAAAGUAGUCAAGAGUGGUUUUGUUAGCGCGUCCGCAAUAUGAGAAUGAAUUGGGACAUGUUGAAUGAGUAGUCGCUUCUCAACAACUUUCUCAUUGACGAAGUGAAUAUAAAGCUCUAUAUCCUUCGUUCUUGCAUGAAGGAUUGGAUUAUGAGACAACAUUACAUCACUGAGAUUGUCACAUAACAAGGUGAGAACUAAGUAAGGAAUAUGUUGUCACUACUGUAAAAUAAAUCUUUCGUAACACUAAAUUACAACGGUAUGACUGUUAACCGUGGUAAUACCAUAUUUUUUGACGUACUUUGUUUUUUCUAUUUAUGAAAAAAACCUUGCACUACGGUUAAACUAAUUAACCAUGAUUAUAUAUUUUUGGAGUGACUGAGUUCAAAUCUCAGCUCCGACAAUUUUCUACUCUUUCGUUACAAUAAGUGUUGUCCUUAUAAUAUGAUAUAUAAAUUAAGAUUAAAAUACCUAUCACCAUGGUUGUUAAUGUCAAUCAUUUUGAAAGUCAUUACAUUUCAUCACGAUUUUUGAAUACGACCGUGAUGAAAUUGUUUACUCAUAUAUAAGCGAAUUAGUUCUCACAGCAAAACCGUAACACACAUUUUCUCUCUUCUUCUUCGUCAUUAGCUUUUCUAUUCUACAGUAUAACCUCAAUCUUGUUCUUCAUAAAUAAACAUAUUCUUCUUCUUCCUUGUUCUCUCGUUUUCGUGUAUGUUGUUGUUAUGUUUUACAUUAUUUUUACAUGAUUUUCUUCUUGUUCGAGAGUUUAUGGUUUUUUUAUGUUGUUGUUGUUGUUGUUGUUGUUGUAUGUUAUAUUAAAAAAUGGUUUUCUCUUCUUGUUCAAAUUUCAGAUCAUUCUCUCAGAUUUCAGAUUCUUCUCUCAAAAUGAAUAUUGGGAGCAACAAACUUAUCCACGAGAUUGAGGUUACAAAUGAGGUUAUUGAUAUGUUUGAGUUAUGGAUGAACAAAGCCAAGGAAGCCAGAGUUGUUAGAGAUCAUAUUAGUGUUAUUGAACCGUUUGGUGGAAUAGAUUAUAAGAAGAUUCUUUUCAAGAAUCUUAACCUUGAAAAGAUGAAGAAGAUAUAGGCUAUUAUGAAAGAUCUAAUGAAUAUGGAUGCAACUGAUUCUGAAUCAGAUUAUGAAUCAGAUGAUGACCUUGAGAACUAUGAAGACAUUGAGAAUUGCAUGAAUUUAACUAGACAUGAAGAUUGAAGACCUUGUUAUGUUUAACAUGAAUUGCACGAAUAAUGUUAAGUCAUUUUAAAGAUUUUGUCACUCAAAUGAGAUCUAUAAUCAUAACAUGCAUAAAUACACUUGUUAUGGUAAACAUGAUCUUAUUUCACCUUCUUGUUUUAUAAGGAAAAAUCAUGAAACUAGUAUGACAGGGACUUCUAGAAAUAGAAUGGUUUUCAGUAGUACUAAGGCAAAAUGACUAAAAAAUGAUUUGUCUACCAAAGAUCAAAGACAUAUGUUUUGAUACAUGUUUGUUUUAAACUCGAACUCAAAAUGGUAUAUCAAUAGUAAUUGUUUAAAGCACGUGACAAAAACAAAAAUAGUUCAUCAUCUUAUACUCCAAAAAGGUGAUGCUAAAACUAUUAUGGUGACAAUAAUAAAGGUAAAUGUGUUGGUUCUAAUAUGUUUGGUAAGAGUUCAAAUCUUACUUUUGAGUUGUUUUAAUUUUGGAAAGUAUAUAACAAAAUUUACUUAGUAUUAAGAAAAUCGUGUGACAUUUUUCCGGAUUCUACUACGUGGAAAACAACUUUUUUUAGUAAAUCUUUUUCAAGAAAAAAAUAUAUCAUGUCUAUAGAAAAAUUCAUACAUAAUACAUUUGAUGAAAUUACCCUCAUAUUUGUUUUGGAAUUAAAUUUUUUUGUUUUUGUAGAUAGACUAAGAACAAACUUCUUAGAAGAUAAAUACAAAAAUAAGGAAGAACAAACACAAAUAAGGGACAACCUCAAAAGGGGAGUGAUUAAGACCAACCCUAAAUAAAUGAUAAGGAUAUUGAAAAUCUAGAAGUGAAUGUUCCAUUUCAAAACAUCAAUCAUGGUUACCUCUAUAAAUCAUUGAAAUUUUUAUUUUACCAUACCUCUGACAUAAACACAUCAUUCACAUAUUUAUAUCACUUAGCAUUUAGUCUCAUCACUUUAUGAGUUGUUUCAUUUACACAUUAGGGCGUGCCUCUGAUUGUUUUUGUUUUUGUGCUUUUGUUUCUUUCAAAUUCUUUGAUUUUGUUUUGCAAAUUUCGCUUGUCAUAUUUGGCCUCUUGAAUGAUAACUUUCAUUUAUGUUUUGUCAUAUUUGUUAGAGGAUUAUCACAAACUUGAUUGAGAUUUGUUUAUUUAUUUUAGGAACUUGAUGAUAUACAUAAUUGAUACAUUUCUUGAAUGAAUAGUAAGGGCAUUAUUAUUAUUAUUAUUAUUAUUAUUAUUAUUAUUAUUAUUAUUAUUAUUAUUAUUAUUAUUAUUGUAGCGGGGUAUUCGUUACCUUUAGAUUUAUUGACUAAAUCAAAAGUAAACCAUACAAGUCGAGUCGCCACCGGACUUCUAUUUAUCCAAAGGAAAGAUUAGAAAGCGAACUAAAACCGAGAAGUUUUACGAAUCAAAAACUAAUAAAAAUGUCAGAGAUCGGGGUAAGGGGGUUGGUUAUGCAAUGGGAAGGUUUUAAGCACCCAAAACAUCCUAGGUACUCCUAGGGAGCCCUUUUCACACUUGUUGUAAGGUUGGUAUUUUGUGAAAAAUUUGUUUGUGCAAACAUGAUUGAGGAGAUGAGAAGAGAAUAUACAAGUUAUUUACAAUUUGUGUUUGGAUGGAUAAACUCAUUGCAUACGUACCAUCUUAAAAAAGAUUAGGAUCAAAACCUCAUAGUUCGGGGUAAAAAUCUCAAAACAAGUUGGUGAAUUGAUUGGGUCCAAAAGCCUUAAGGUCUUUUGUUAUCCAAGGGAGAAAACUCAAGCUAAAAACCACAAAUCCACCAUGUGAGGAUAACUUCAACAUGCUAGUGAGGGGUUAACCCUAUAAUAAGCAUGGAAGACUCAUUGUCCAUCACUAAGAAUAUAUGUGAGUAUUACAUCUACCUCAAGGAUAACUCAAACCUAAUAGCUAAAGGUUAAGAAAAGUUUUUGAUAAGAAAGUGGCCAUUGAAACCACAAAAGUAUUUGUAUGGGUUAUAUUUACCAAUGAAAAGUAUUUACAAAAUAUAUGGUCAAAGUUGACUUAAAGAUUCAAUUCAAAAUAAGUGUUAUGAAAAGAAAGUUUGAAAAUCAAAAGCAUAAUGCUUAGGUUUCUAAUGUUUGAAAACAAGUGUUAAUAUUUGCAAAAAAGUUUUGGCUUGGGUUAGAGUGGAGGGAAGAAGAAGAAUGGCUAAAGUCUUAAUCAUACAAGAGAUGAAGGAGAAUAAAUAAGACCACAAAUGGAGUUCCCUUCUUGAGAUCAUAUUGAUGAUCCAAGUAGCUCCCAUCCUUUGGAAUAAGCAAACAAAUAAGUAUAAACUCAAGCAAUCAAUCAAGCAAGCAAGCUCUUAGAAGAUCCCCAAUAGCUCUUAGAUCUCUUCUCUUUAGAAGCUCAUGACAAUGGUUCUUCAAUUUGGCUCAAAUAGGAUUCCCUAGCACAAAAGCACACACAUCAAAAAGUUCCAUGAAGUAAAUCAAGAAUGGACAAGAGUGAGUUUAGAGAUUUGGUCCUUCUAAUCCAUCUAUUCAAUUUGGCUCAAAUAGGAUUCCCUAGCACAAAAGCACACACAUCAAAAAGUUCCAUGAAGUAAAUCAAGAAUGGACAAGAGUGAGUUUAGAGAUUUGGUCCUUCUAAUCCAUCUUCAACAUUUAGGCAUUUUUACUCCAUUUUUGCAUAGGGAAUGUCCUAGAAUCUAAGUCCUUUUUGUCCAUUUUGGUCCACAACAAUCAAAACAAAAGCACAAGCACAAUAAUAUAUACAACAUUAUAUGCUCAAGUGAGCAAAAGGCAAAUUGCAUUAACAUAAACAUGUGCUCAAAUGAGCAAAGGGCAAAAGCAAAUAAAUAAUAUGUACAAGAAUAGUAAAUUGCAUAAAUGUAAAGUGCAAGAAUUAAAUGUUAAUGGUUAAUGGUUAGUGUUAGAGUUAGUGUGCCAUAAGGCAAUUUAACGCUAUGUUAAGCAAUCGUAAUUGGACUUAUGUAGAAGUCACAACUAUCUGAGACCGGUCAAUAAUAAUGUAGGAAACAACACAAGUUAGAGAUUUUGAUUAGUGAAUCAAACUCCUACAACUUGCCAUGCCAAAAAGAAGAUGAGAAAUGAUCUUGUAUUGAUUUAGGUUCUUUGCUUGAUUAGGAAGCAACCUACACUUAAUGCAAAUUCAUUCACUUGAUCCAUGAUCAAGAUGAAUUAGAUUUGAAUCAAGGAAGGUUAGACCUCCCAUACAUCAAGGCUAACCACCAAUCUUUAACUCAUUGAUCAAAAAAGAAAAACAAGAAGAAGAAAAAGAAGAAGAAGAUGAAUAUUAAAGUACAUUAAUGGAAAUGAAAUGAAAUAAUCAACAAACAUUGACCAAGGAUAGAGAAGAUCAAGGUCAAACAAUGGUAAACAGAGGCAAAAUGGAGAUUAGAAGUCAAGAAACAAAUAAAAUUUUUUUGAUAUUUUUUAAAAGUAAAAUAAUACUUGAAUUGAAAUAAUAAAGAAAGGUCAAACUUCAAAAUCACUUCAAAUCAACUUUGAAAAGUCCAAGUGAAUUAUCCUAAAUUCAACAAGGUCAAACAAAGUUUGACAAAAAAUUUCAGCAUUUUUAGAAGUCAGAAACUAUUUUUAAUCAAUUAAAAAUGCAUAUAAAUAACCUAAUUGAAUUAAAAUCUCAAAUCAAUUAAUAAAUUGAUGAGAAUAUUUUUCAUAGAUCUAUCAUCAUUCAAAGAGGUUGGAAAAAUAUUUUUGUAUUUUUUGAAUAUCAAAAACUAUUUAAUUAAAAUCUCAAAUCAAUUAAUAAAUUGAUGAGAAUAUUUUUCAUAGAUCUAUCAUCAUUCAAAGAGGUUGGAAAAAUAUUUUUGUAUUUUUUGAAUAUCAAAAACUAUUUUAAAUGAAUUAAAAAGAACCAGAAAAAGAGAAAAUUCCUAAAAAAAUAUCAAAUGAUAAAAUAAAAAAAAUUAAAAAUCACUUUUGGAAACUAGAAAUUAAAAGAAGAAAAAUGCAAUUGGUCUCACAUUUUUUGGACCAAUAAUGGAGGAGAUAUGAAUUUUUUAAAUGAAAUGGAAUUAAAGAAAUAAAAAGAAAUUAAAAUAAGAAAUUAAAAUAAUGAAAAAAACGUGGAGCGUUGGAUGCAAAGCUCAUUAAUUGAGCUGGAAAAUCGCUUGGUCCACAUAUGCGUGCCUACCAUGUACCUUAGUCAAUGUAAUCACACUUGGCCUUUAAACAAGUCAUAACAUUGAGUGACCUGGAUUAAAUCUGGAAAAGCAAAUGCACGGUUCAGAUUCAAUCUGGAGACCAGACGGUGGUGUACACCACCGUCUUCAUCCGGCCAACUUCCGGCACUGGUCAAAUUUGCAGAGAAAUAAAUGUGCAUGAAAAGCCACGAUCCAGGUACCAAACGAAAGCUGGGGUGAUGUACAUCACCCCUAUGCCAACCAAAUCCACUCUAGAUUCCUAUUGAGAGAGAAAUCAGAGGUUGAAUUUCAUGGAGUUCAACUGAAACUUGUUGGAUUUUGAAAUUUCAAAGCUCAAAAAGAUUGCCUCUAUGAAGAGGACUUCAAACAACACAGCAACAACAAGAAACAAGCAAUAUAUUAGUGGAUUCGAAGAAAAUAAAAUCUGAAGUAAACCUCUGAUUUGCAGAGUUUGAGAGCACGAUUUCUUGGUGAUUAAGCUUGCAGUGUGAUCUAUGGAUUAAGGUAAGCAAGGCUAAGGAACUUUAGAUCUAAAAAUCAAUAAAUGAAAUUGAAGUUUAGAUCUGAAAAAAUUGAGAGAAAAUGGUGAGUUCCUUUGAUUAUGGGUGAGGAAUCAACCGUGCAGCAUGUAAGGCGCCUUCAGGUUAUUGAAAUGAGGAGCAUAAGGCACUUAUUUAUAGCAAAAGGCAUGGCUGAAAGCAUGAUCAUUUCAUUGCAUGGAUGGAAAGGGCCUCCAUGCAUGGGCCUGUACAGGCGCAUGGAGGGCCCAAUUCCACUUGAAUUUGCAAGCUAAUCAUCAGCAGAUGUAAAUUGGACGUGCAGAUGGUGUAUGUUAGGUCAUGCAAUGCAAAUUUAAUUGAUUUUCAAAAAUGCACCAAUAUGUUCAUGCUUUCGAAAAUGCCAUGUCCAUACUUGAAACACAACCUUAUGAGUAAUGGUUGGACAACUUUUUGCAUGAGGAUCAUUUGUUAUGUUGAUCAAAACUUCAUUUGAAACUUGGAAAUUGAUGAAAAAUGAUCAUGAAGUGUAGGGUGCAAAACAUGUACAUGUGAAAACUUCAAAAAUGGUCAAACUUUAAGCAAUCCUGUUUCAAUGAUGCAAGCUCCAAAUGAUAAAAUCUUCAACAUCAAAGUUGUAGAUAUUUUCAAGACAAUAAAUAUGGACUUAUAUUUUGCAUCAUUUAUAUUUUUGAUGAAGAAGUUAUGGGCACUUGAAGUUGGACUUUUUCACAUUUCAAUGCUUUUGGUUCAAAGUGACCUAUAAUGUUUUGCAUUAUCACAUGUAUUUCUUUUAGGAUUUUGAAAUUUUGCUCAACAUAACAUUUUAAGUAGACAACUUAAUCUUUCCAAUUCAUUUAAUAUCACCUCAAAAUCAUGAAAAAUGAAGGAGCUAUGUCCUUGGGAAGUUGACCCAAAAUUAGGGUUUUAGUCAAAAAUGACCUAUAAUGUUUUGAAAUGGAUGAUGACCUUCCAAGCUUCAAAUAAUUUUUAUGAACAUGAAAGUUGUUCAUAAGAUUCUUAAGAACAUUGUUUCUCUUGGGGUUACUCCAUUUGACAAACACAUUAAAAGUUAGGUCUCAGUGUACUUCAAAAUAGUCAUAUGAAUUGACUGAUCAACUUCUCAAGUCUACACCUCAUACUCUUGAUGAAUUGAUGAUUGAGGAUACUCAAGUAGUUCAAAUAUGCAUGAAAUGAUGAUUUAAAGAACUUCCCUUGAUUGCAUUUGAUCAUAGGUUGAGGUUGCUUCAUGAGCAACGCAUAGUUGAUGAACAGAUAAAUUACGGCUUCCUUGGGAAACAAACCUCAAACCCUUUGGUUUGCUUUGAUCAAAAUUAUGAAUUGAGAUACUUGGGAGGCAUAUUUGAUGUAUGAGAGCUUUGGGAACCAUUGACAUGCUUGCUUUCAUCUUCCCUUGACUAUAUCAGUGCACCUAGGAUCUCCUAGAAGUUUUGGAUCUUGUGACUGCUCAAGCUACAAACAAAAGAUGUUAGUGACAUAUUUUUGUGUUUUUGGUUAGUGAAUAAAAUGAGAGAAGCAAUAAUAUACAAUUCAAGUAUGCUUGGUGAUCUCAAACCAAUUCUCAAAAGUUCCCACCCCAAAGGUAAGAAGCCAAGAUGCUUAUGAUCCUUGAGGCAAAAUGCAAAUGCAAUGAUAUGAUGCCAUGAGGGAUCUUAGGGUCAAAAUUGGGAUCUUACAAUUAUUAUUAUUAUUAUAUUGUUUGUGUUCUUUGUUAUAUGAUUGUGGUCCUUUUUGAAUUUUUUGUUAUUGUUGAAAUUAUGAGUGGAAGUGAAAUAACUCCAUAUUCUUCUAGAAGGGCUUCUAUCAUGGAAGACUUUACAAAAAUAUUGAAUACUUAACUGAAUUGCUUGAAAAUAAAAUAGCUUAUCAAUUAAAGAGCCGUGAUAGUGCAUUAUGAAAAAUAUUUUCAAAAAUUUCAAGGAGAAAAGGAGAUGUGUAGCUAGGCAAUUUGAUGAUUAAGAUGAAUUAAAAUAAAUUUUGAGAAACACAUAUACAUCAUCUCAUUAUUAAAGGGAACUCCAUAAAAAAUCCACUAUAACAUAAGGUUUCAAGAGUGUGGAGAAUUACUAUAGAGACUUUGAGAAUCCACUAUAACAUUAGAGAGGAUAAAGAUAUUAUAAGAGUUAGGUUUAAACUAUGAGAUUAAAGAAUGUGGAGAAUUACUAUAGAGACUUUGAGAAUCCACUAUAACAUUAGAGAGGAUAAAGAUAUUAUAAGAGUUAGGUUUAAACUAUGAGAUUAAAGAUGUUAUUGAGUUUUAUUCAUAAAUAUUAAGAAGUUUGUUCAUAUGUCAUCCACUUGUAAACAACAAUUAAAGAGAAAAAGUACUUAUAAAAGUAUUCCUCAAACAAGAAAUCAUCACAUUGAAAGGACAAACACAAGAGGCAGGAGAUUCUACACUAACAUUGGCUAAGAAAGAUAAGUUUUUUAAACUUAAAGAUCCACCCUCUAGUUCAUCUUAUCAUUUUUCAAUGAAAUGUUUGAAAUAUUUAAGAAAGGUCAAAUAAAAUCAAAUUACUAAAAAAAACAUUGAUUGAAAAAAAAAAUAGUACUUAUUAUGCCACAUAAACAGGAAAUUUAAAUAAAAUAAAAUUUAUCAAGGGAAAUAAUUAUUUUUAUUAAAUGGGAGGUUAAAAAUAUUAAAAUAGAUUGUAAAGAUAAUAAAUCUUCCUUUCUUUGCAAUUAUUGAAACUGAAAUAAUAAACCAAAGUAACAAUUUUGUAAUCAAGGGAAAUAAUUAUUUUUAUUAAAUGGGAGGUUAAAAAUAUUAAAAUAGAUUGUAAAGAUAAUAAAUCUUCCUUUCUUUGCAAUUAUUGAAACUGAAAUAAUAAACCAAAGUAACAAUUUUGUCAAGGUUAAUAUUGUAGAUUCCGAUUUUGAGUUGGUCCAGUAAAAAUUGAUUUUAGUAGGGAAGAUCACAAUUUGAUUUCCUACACUUGUAAUUAAAGAAGAGUUAGAAUUUUUUGAAGUCAAAAUUAAUCUCUAAACUGAAUUUAUUGAUCCAGUAAAUCGGAUAUUAAUGAUGGAAAAAAAUAAUAACCAUGCGACAGUUUUGUUAUGCAUUUAACAAUUUAACAGUUUGUCUCUUAAGUCAAUAUAAGUUAAUGUUAGAAAUUAUAAUAACGUAUAAGGUAUAAAAAAGUUUGUAAAGAGUAUAAUGAAUAGAAAAAUAGGUUAUAAUUUUGUUCUAUAUAAACCAUUGAAACUAGUUUAUCCAUAACAUUUCUUUUUCCUGAUUAUAUUAUUUUGAAGCCUUUUGAAAUGGCCAAGUAUUCUUUCAUAUUAAUUAUCUUUUUUAUCUUCAUUUUCUCAGAUAUAUUAUUUUUUGUCUAACCUUUUGUAUAUAUAUUCGCCUCAGUUCCUCUAUUUCAGAACUAUUAACAUUUGACUCUUUUCUUAGUCUUGUUCAGGUGACUGAUGGUGUUUACAGAUUUAAAAGGUACGAAGCACAAAGUACAUAUUUAUAUAUUUAGGUUAGCUGUGUAUGUCGGUGCUUCGCAUUUGUAUGGUUCUUGAUUUUGUUACUUUCUAUUUUUUUUAUGACAUCAUUCAUAUAUUUACAUAUUUAUAUGGUUCUUGAUUUUGUUAUUUUGUUGAUGACAUCAUUCAUAUAUUUACAUAUUUAUAUGGUUCUUGAUUUUGUUAUUUUGUUGCAUUAUCAUUAGGGUCCGAAUACAUUGAGAAGGUGAGAGUAAUGUGGAACAAGAUAAAACAAAAUAAUUUUAGGAUUAUGAUAUGUUUGUUAUAUUAGGUUUCGUUAGCAUCAGGUUCUGAAUCCUUUGGUUUAUUUCUAUUGUUGAAAUAAUAUGCAUAGGUGGAAUCUUGUUGGAAUUCAUUUUGAUUUCUUUUUAUUUGCGAACGGUAACUUAAGCGAAACUGAAUCAUGGGAAUUUUACAAAUAAUGUUCAAUUUCGUUGGUAGAACUUGUUCAACGAAUCUGAAGCACGAGUUUCUAUUAGUCCUAUUGAGACGAGCUAGUUAGAUAUGACUAGUUGACUUAAGAAAAAAGUUACUACAAUAUUUUAUAUAUGACUGGUUUUGCAUUAUUGUUUGUGUUUAUCAGAAGUGAGAGUUAUUCUUUUUCUAAACGCAGCAUACAAAAUCAGUCACAUAUGUUUUGUGAGCAUCAUACUCAAUUAAAGUGUAAAAUCCAAUUAUAGAUCUAAAUGAAGAUAAUUACAUUCACACACACGAUGGUGAGGUCUGGUUAGUAGUUAGCCUAUAUUAAAAGUCAAUAUCAUGAAUAUGAAAAGUCAUACCAACUGAUUCGUUGAUUCAUUUACUCCUUAAUAUUGAAAAAGUACUUCUAGUUAACUACAAAGAAAAUGAAAAAGUAUCAUUACAAAAACAGAAAAUUUGGUUUAGAGUUGUUCAAAGUUUCUAUUUAUUAGUACCAUAUAUUAUUAUUAUUAUUAUUAUUAUUAUUAUUAUUAUUAUUAUUAUUAUUAUUAUUAUGAAAGUAAACUGAUAUUUGUACUCAAAACAAUGAUAAAUUGUGAGUGCCCUGAUUUAGGUUAGAGAUAAUCAGGUUAGAGAUACAUUAUUAAGCGAUUUUGCACAAAUUCUGUUUUAUUUAUACAAGGGAUUUUGCUUUUGCAGAAAAUGUCAACAAAAGGAUCAUCUAAACUAAAGACUUUGUGCACACUGUGGAAAGAUUUAGAUGAACCUUUUAAAGCACGGAUUAACAAUAGAAUAGAAAAUUAUGGUGAAGGUUAUACACUGUUAAGAGUUUUAAGGUUUGUCCAAGAUAACUCAUCUGAAUUUUCAACAUCAUUGUUUGAAUUGUUCAUGAGUUAUUAUGGACUCCAAGAAAAUUAUUAUUGUUUUCAUGUUUGUGGUCAAAACAUGAACGUCACAUUGGAGGACGUUCUGUUUUUGACCAACUUACCCAUUACGGGCCGAACACUUAUAUCUGAAAGCAAUAAAGACCAUAUGGCUUUUAACAGAAUUUUUUCUUUACCUGACACUCAUAAACUUAAGUUAACAGUGUUGAAAUUUUUUUGCUACGAUAUAAAUAAAAUUGAUGAUGAUAUGAUCAAGGCCGUCAUCCUCAUGAUCGUGUCAUGUCUGAUCAUUCCAAGUGGGGAUGGACAAAAUUGCAAAACCACCUACGUCGAAUUUAUUGAAAAAUUAGACGAAGUAUACUCCUAUGCUUGGGGAGCGGCAAUAUUAUCCUAUCUAUAUCAAGGUCUGAAGGAGAAUAAUUUACGGAAUAAGAAAGUUGACGGCUUUGUAUGGCUGAUAAUGGUAAGUGCAUAUUUUUUCUUAUAUCUUUUUUCUUCUUACCUCUUUGUUUGAUAACUUUUUAACCAACUUUUUUUUCAUAGGGAUUCUUCUUUUAUCAUUUUAAAGGUCUUUAUCAAAUCCUCAAUAUUAAUGCUAUUAAUGCGGAGGAAGAUCAUAUGCCUAAUACGCCACUAUUGACAUAUUUGAUAAAAGCUCUUUUCAAACUCGGCCAAAACCGCCACACAAAACCCCAUCAUCAAUUAGGACAAAAGUUUUAGUUGAUACGUAACUUCUUGGAUAUGGAUCAUGAUGUAAGAAAUGAUUUCUAUAGCUUAUGUAGGUUGUGAUUUUGUGGGAUAAUGGUUAGUUAAUUUUUAGUUUGUUAUCUUUAUCUUUUGUUUUUUGUAUAACACAGGAUAUAGAAAAUUUUCCUAUUACUUGGCAUCCCUAUAUUGAACAAAUGUUGUCUCCCGACCUGCAACAGUCGAUGGAACUUGAUGAUAUUAACUUGACCGGUGUUGGAUCUGAUAUGGAAAUGAUUAUUUCAAAGGAAAUAAAGGCAGUAAUCCCAUCAUUUUGAGCACAUUUUUAAAAAAGAGGAGGAUAACGAUAGGCGGUUUGCACAAAACUUCCAGACUAUUGAAGCAUCCACUUCUGAGACAGCAGGUGAUAUUGAAGCAUCCACUUCCGAGACGGCAAGUGAUCACCAAUCACCAAUAUUGAGAAUAUCACUAGUGGAGGUAAAAUAUUUAAUUAUGUUAUGGUUUUAGUUAUGAAUAAUGAUAAGUAAUCAGCGGUGCAUGUUAUCUUAUGAAUAUAUAAUUACGUUUUUAAUUAAGAAAAUGUAGUUUUAUUAUUUGCCAAAUUUUAACAAUGUGAUAGAUGCAUGUGAGAUGUUGGCGGUUGAUUAUGAAGCAUAUGAGAUUACCGUACUAUCGUCGCCCCAUUGUUUUGCUACAACUAUGUGGAGCCUCAAUAUCCAAAUGUUGUAGCAAAACAGUUCGAGGAACUUGAUGAUAUUAACUUGACCGGUGUUGGAUCUGAUAUGGGAAUGAUUAUUUCAAAGGGAAAUAAAGGCAAUAAUCCAAUCAAUUUUAAAGCACAUUUUAAAAAAGAAAUGAGACAAUGGGAGGAUAUCGAUAGGCGGUUGCACAAAACUUCCAGACUAUUGAAGCAUCCACUUCUGAGACGGCAGGUGAUAUUGAAGCAUCCACUUCCGAGACGGCAAGUGAUCACCAAUCACCCAAUAUUGAGAAUAGCACUAGUGGAGGUAAAAUAUUUAAUUAUGUUAUGGUUUUAGUUGUGAAUUAUAAGUAAUCAGCGGUGCAUGUUAUCUUAUGAAUAUAUAAUUACGUUUUUAAUUAAGAAAAUGUAGUUUUUUAUUUGCCAAAUUUUAACAAUGUGAUAGAUGCAUGUGAGAUGUUGGCGGUUGAUUUUGAAGCAUAUGAGAUUACCAUAUUAUCGUCGCCCCAUUGUUUUUCUACAACUAUGUGGAGCCUCAAUUAGGGGUGUUCGCGGUUUGGUUUGGAUCGGUUUUGAGACAAAAACUCAUCCGAUCCAAAGAUACAAAGAGCAUAUGGUUUGGUUCGGUUAUUGGAUGACAAUAAAAAAAAUCCAAUCCAAUCCAAUCCAAUUUAUACGGUUUACUUCGGUUCGGUUUUAUUCGGUUUUUAAACAAACACUACUUCUAAAUCUAAAAUCAUAUUUAACUUUAACUAUUAACUAGUAUGCAUUCUAGUAAUAGUAUGUGUUUAAACAAUUGUAUUUAUUAGUAUUUAAUUGUAUUUAAAUUGUAAUAUUUAAAUAAUAUUAUUAAUUAGUGCAUGAUGUGCUGUAAAUGUGCAUUGUAUUUAAUUUGUAACGGUGCAUUGUAUUUAAUUAAUUAGAGUUAAUGAGAAUACUAUAUGAAUAAAUAUUGGUUCGGUUUGGAUUGGUUCGGUUUUCAUGCUGCCAACCGAAAACUGAACCGAACCGGUCAGUCAUUCUACAAGGUGGUCCAAACAUAUCCAAAAAAAUUCGGUUUUUUUUUGUUUUCGGUUUUUUUGGUUCGGUUUUUUUUUGGAUUGGAUUGGAUUUGAACACCCCUAGCCUCAAUACCCAAAUGUUGUAGCAAAACAGUUCGAGGAACUUGAUGAUAUUAACUUGACCGGUGUGGGAUCUGAUAUGGGAGUGAUUAUUUCAAAGGGAAAUAAAGGCAAUAAUCCCAUCAAUUUUAAAGCACAUUUUAAAAAAGAGAUGAGAUAAUGGGAGGAUAUCGAUAGGCGGUUUGCACAAAACUUCCAGACUAUUGAAUCAUCCACUUCUGAGAGGGCAGGUGAUAUUGAAGCAUCCACUUCUGAGACGGCAAAUGAUCACCAAUCACCCAAUAUUGAGAAUAGCACUAGUGGAGGUAAAAUAUUUAAUUAUGUUAUGGUUUUAGUUAUGAAUAAUGAUAAGUAAUCAGCGGUGCAUGUUAUCUUAUGAAUAUAUAAUUACGUUUUUAAUUAAGAAAAUGUAGUUUUUUAUUUGCCAAAUUUUAAUAAUGUGAUAGAUGCAUGUGAAAUGUUUGCGGUUGAUUUUGAAGCAUAUGAGAUUACCGUACUAUCGUCGCCCCAUUGUUUUGCUACAACUAUGUGGUGCCUCAAUAUCCAAAUGUUGUAGCAAAGCAGUUCGAGGAACUUGAUGAUAUUAACUUGACCGGUGUUGGAUCUGAUAUGGGAGUGAUUAUUUCAAAGGGAAAUAAAGGCAAUAAUCCCAUCAAUUUUGAAGCACAUUUUAAAAAAGAGACGAGACAAUGGGAGGAUAUCGAUAGGCGGUUUGCACAAAACUUCCAGACUAUUGAAGCAUCCACUUCUGAGACGGCAGGUGAUAUUGAAGCAUCCACUUCCGAGACGGCAAGUGAUCACCAAUCACCCAUUAGUUAUUUACAUAUUAGAAGCAUUCUGGGAUAAAAAUAUAGGUUUGUUUAAUGUAACUUCCCUCCUUAUGACGUUUUUUUAACACACAACAUAACCGCUCCACUUCUCUUCUCUCACACCCGCUUCGCUCCACUAUCUCUUCUCUCACCACAGUGCCAUACGCUUCUUCUCUUUCUUCAACACACAGUGCCACACCGCUUCUUCUCUUUGGCGUUGUCGCNGGGAAAUAAAGGCAAUAAUCCCAUCAAUUUUGAAGCACAUUUUAAAAAAGAGACGAGACAAUGGGAGGAUAUCGAUAGGCGGUUUGCACAAAACUUCCAGACUAUUGAAGCAUCCACUUCUGAGACGGCAGGUGAUAUUGAAGCAUCCACUUCCGAGACGGCAAGUGAUCACCAAUCACCCAAUAUUGAGAAUAGCACUAGUGCAGGUAAAAUAUUUAAUUAUGUUAUCGUUUUAGUUAUGAAAGUAACAGCGGGUGCAUGUUAUCUUAUGAACUAUGGAAUUACGUUUUUUUAAUUAAAGAAAAUGUGUUUUUUAUUUGCACCAGAUUUUAACGAAAUGUGAUAAGAUGCGAAUGUGAGAUCGUUGGCGGCUUGAGUUUUGAAGCAUGAUGAAUACCAUAUUAUCGUCGAUCCAAUGCGGUUAGAGAGAAUGUCAUAAGCUUAGGGUUAUGAUUAUCACCAAAGUUUGUACAACUUUGAAUUUUGGAUUUUAGAAUAAAUAGAUGAUAAUUUUUUACAUUUUUUAAUCAAUUAUUAAAUUAUAAUAUAUAUAAGAAAAAAAUCAUAUAACUAUGUUAUUACAUAUAGAACAUUCUGGGUAAAAAUAUAGUUUGUUAAUGUAACUUCCUCACUUAUGAACGUUUUUUUAACACACCAACAUACCCGCUUCCACUUCUCUUUCUCUCAACACACCGCUUCGCUUCCACUUAUCUUUCUCUCAACACAGUGCCAUACGCUUCUUCUCUUUCUUCAACACACAGUGCCACACCGCUUCUUCUCUUCUCUUUGGCUUUGUGCGCAGAUUUUGUCGAAGCUCAUCGUCCACCACCGCCGCGGGUUCCAUUUGCCACUGUUAACACCAUCAACUAAUCUCUGAUUGACAAUUGCUUUGGCGUUGGGUAGUUUUUUUUUUCUUCUUUCAUUUUGGAUUGUGAAAUAGGAUCAUAAGCAAUACCUCUGUAUUAUGAUUUUGGGGAGUUAGUUAAUUUCAAUAUCUCUCUCUUUUUUAGAUUUUGUCGAAGCUCAUCGUCCACCACCGCCGCGGGUUCCAUUUGCCACUGUUAACACCGAUCACUAAUCUCUGAUUGACAUUGCUUUGGCGUUGGGUAAGUUCUUUUUUUCUUCUUUCAUUUUUGGGGAUUGUGAAAUUAGGAUAUAAGCAAUACCUCUGUAUUAUGAUUUUGGGGAGUUAGUUAAUUUCAAUUUAGGGAUUAUCUUGUGGAUUUAGGAAUCGAGUAUGGUUAUUUUAGGUUGAGUAUUGUUCAAUGGUUACUCUUGCAAUAUGGAAUUCACCCCUGUAGACACCACUGUUAGCAUUGACCCUGACCUGUAUCAGUAAGAGUUUCUGUGUACAAAAAAAUAGGGUCUUUCGUAUCCAAUCUCAAGGUGUACUUUCAUUGGAUUCGAUUGAAAAUAGUGUGGUGACUGAUAUUAUGCAAACUUUGUCAACUUUUUCAUCCAUGUCACCGGCGUCUCUGGCAUGCGCUCCGCCGUCACUCAAGAGGCUGAACUUUAACUUUCUCUUACCAACCGCUUCAUAUGUGUCCACUUUGUCUCUUCGGCAUGCCAAUAUAGAGCUUAUUAUUGUUACUCAUUCAUCGACACCUCCGAACCUUGGUCUAAUCUCAGUUGUGCUUCCACAGUUUGAGACUCAAGGAGUUGUUAUUUUGGUUAAUGUCGAUACAGAUGGAACUGUCUUAGUUAGCCAUGAUGGUAUGGAAAUGUGGCAAGGUUUACAGACGAAAGUUGCACAAAUUGCGGCAUCAACUUUCAAUAUCCUCCUUAAUUUUGUCUUCAUAUCAGAUACAAGUACAGAUAAGGUUCCUAAUUCUUCUCCAUUAACACCUUCUGCAAGUUCUGACAUGUAUGGAGCAGUGGUUUUAGAUGCAUGUGAGCAAAUAUCCGUACACAUGGAACCUAUUUCUUCCCAACAUAAAUUCAAGACUUUUACUGAGCUAGUUAAUGUGUGCUAUGUAGAGCGAAUAGAUCUUGCUGUCUGUGGAUUUUGUAUUGCACAGUUUUAGAAAUAAUACACUAUUUUCAUAUUUGUGCAUUUUUAUCCAUUUCUUAUAUAUUUUGUAAGUUGCGGUUUUUUCGGGUUCGCAUCAGUUUGAUUGGUGUUAAAUUAAUAUUAUAUGUGACUAUAUGAAUGCAGGAAAUGGCAACAAAAGCAAAAGGAAGUUCAAAACUGCCAACUUUGUGCGAUUUGUGGUCAAAAUUAGAUGAAGACUUUAAAGCCUUAAUUAACAACAGAAUUGAUAAUAAUGGUGAUGGUAGUUCUUUGUUGAGACUUAUCCCCAAUAGACGUGUGGAAAUUUCAACAUAUUUGCUGCAAGAGUUCAUGACACUUUAUGAACAUAGAGAAAAUGAUUUUUAUUUUCAGGUCUGUGGUCAACAACGCAUGAACGUCACAUUGGAGGACGUUUUAUUUUUGACCCAUUUGCCUAUUAUAGGCCGACCAAUUGUCCCCAUUGACAAUAGAGAUCGAGAUGCUUUCAAUCGACUUUUUUCAGAAAAUUCAUCUCUACUUUCCCUAGUCACGUUGAGAAAUAUUUGUUGUGAUACAAAUAGAAAUGAUGAUGAGAGGAUCAAGGCUGUCCUUCUCAUGAUUGUGACAUGCCUGAUUGCUCCAAAUGGGAAUGGACAAAAUUGCAAGACUUCUUACGUCCAAUUUAUCGAAAAAUUGGACGAAGUUAACUCCUAUGCUUGGGGAGCUGCAAUGUUAGCAUACUUGUAUCAAGGUAUGAAGGGAUGGAAGACCGAUGAUAAGGCAAUUGACGGCUUCACCUGGCUUAUAAUGGUAAGAGCAUUUUUUUCUUAUCAUUUUUUUUUCCUUAUCUCUUUUUUUGAUAAUUUUUUCACCAACUUUUUUUUUUCAUAGGGCUUCUUCUUUUCUCAUUUUAGAGGUCUUUAUUCGAUCUUCAAUAAUGCUGUGGAGGAAAAUCAGGCUCAUGAUAAGCCAAAACUGGCAUAUUUGAUAGAGUCACUUGAGAAAACCGGCAAAAUCCACCCAAAGAAGGCCAACAUCCCAUUACAAUUGAAGGUCAACAUAACAUUUUAAGUAGACAACUUAAUCUUUCCAAUUCAUUUAAUAUCACCUCAAAAUCAUGAAAAAUGAAGGAGCUAUGUCCUUGGGAAGUUGACCCAAAAUUAGGGUUUUAGUCAAAAUGACCUAUAAUGUUUUGAAAUGGAUGAUGACCUUCCAAGCUUCAAAUAAAUUUUUUAUGAACAUGAAAGUUGUUCAUAAGAUUCUUAAGAACAUUGUUUCUCUUGGGGUUAUCUCCAUUUGACAAACACAUUAAAAGUUAGGUCUCAGUGUACUUCAAAAUAGUCAUAUGAAUUGACUGAUCAACUUCUCAAGUCUACACCUCAUAUCUUGAUGAAUUGAUGAUUGAGGAUACUCAAAUAAGUUCAAAUAUGCAUGAAAUGAUGAUUUAAAGAACUUCCCUUGAUUGCAUUUGAUCAUAGGUUGAGGUUGCUUCAUGAGCAACGCAUAGUUGAUGAACAGAUAAAUUACGGCUUCCUUGGGAAACAAACCUCAAACCCUUUGGUUUGCUUUGAUCAAAAUUAUGAAUUGAGAUACUUGGGAGGCAUAUUUGAUGUAUGAGAGCUUUGGGAACCAUUGACAUGCUUGCUUUCAUCUUCCCUUGACUAUAUCAGUGCACCUAGGAUCUCCUAGAAGUUUUGGAUCUUGUGACUGCUCAAGCUACAAACAAAAGAUGUUAGUGACAUAUUUUUGUGUUUUUGGUUAGUGAAUAAAAUGAGAGAAGCAAUAAUAUACAAUUCAAGUAUGCUUGGUGAUCUCAAACCAAUUCUCAAAAGUUCCCACCCCAAAGGUAAGAAGCCAAGAUGCUUAUGAUCCUUGAGGCAAAAUGCAAAUGCAAUGAUAUGAUGCCAUGAGGGAUCUUAGGGUCAAAAUUGGGAUCUUACAAUUAUUAUUAUUAUUAUAUUGUUUGUGUUCUUUGUUAUAUGAUUGUGGUCCUUUUUGAAUUUUUUGUUAUUGUUGAAAUUAUGAGUGGAAGUGAAAUAACUCCAUAUUCUUCUAGAAGGGCUNUGAAAUUUAAAAAAAUAAAAAGGAAAUUAAACAGAUGACCAUGAAAUUUAAAAAAAUAAAAAGGAAAUUAAAUAUACCUUUCUCUUCCUUUGUCUUUUAUGUCUUUUAGCCAUAGCAUUGACGUGAUUAAUGGAAUGCGUAAAUCUCUCGAUUCCCACCCCCCUAUUUUCUCUUUUUGUAGUUUUAAGCUGUAGUGGAGGAGUCGCCAUGCCACGUCUACGGCGUACCUGAAUCACCACAUUCUGCCCCGCAUUCUCUACAUUCUGCCCCGCAUUCCCCACAUUCUGCCCCGCAUUCCCCGCAUUCCCCGCAUUCUCCCCCGCAUUUUCAUCUAUAUCACCCAACUGCCUCGCAUUUGUUUCCCCGGCUGCAUAUAUCACAUUAUUUAAACCCGGCAAAUCAAGAAUAUUUUCAUAAUUAAGAAUGUAACUAAAAACAUAACAUAGUUAAAUAUUUUACCUUCACUAGUGCCAACCUCUGAUGACCUUUGUGCAUGGUAUGGUGAUGGACAAGACAUAUCAAGGGAUGAUGGUGGAGAAAAAUGCACAUCAGCGUCGGAGAGAUGCCCUUGGGAAUUGGCUGUAUGCAGGGGAGUGUGAUUUUGUUGAGCAGCUUCUGGCUCGGAAAUGGAUUGUUGAGCAGCUUCUGGCUCGGAAAUGGAUUGUUGAGCAGUGUGGUAGUUUUCUGAUGAAAUUUAAAAAAAUAAAAAGGAAAUUAAACAGAUGACCAUGAAAUUUAAAAAAAUAAAAAGGAAAUUAAAUAUACCUUUCUCUUCCUUUGUCUUUUAUGUCUUUUAGCCAUAGCAUUGACGUGAUCAAUGGAAUGCGUAAAUCUCUCGAUUGCCACCCCCCUAUUUUCUCUUUUUGUAGUUUUAAGCUGUAGUGGAGGAGUCGCCAUGCCACGUCUACGGCGUACCUGAAUCACCACAUUCUGCCCCGCAUUCCCCGCAUUCUCCACAUUCUGCCCCGCGUUCCCCACAUUCUGCCCCGCAUUCCCUGCAUUCCCCGCAUUCUCCCCCGCAUUUUCAUCUAUAUCACCCAACUGCCUCGCAUUUGUUUCCCCGACUGCAUAUAUCACAUUAUUUAAACCCGGCAAAUCAAGAAUAUUUUCAUAAUUAAGAAUGUAACUAAAAACAUAACAUAGUUAAAUAUUUUACCUUCACUAGUGCCAACCUCUGAUGACCUUUGUGCAUGGUAUGGUGAUGGAGAAGACAUAUCAAGGGAUGAUGGUGGAGAAAAAUGCACAUCAGCGUCGGAUAGAUGCCCUUGGGAAUUGGCUGUAUGCAGGGGAGUGUGAUUUUGUUGAGCAGCUUCUGGCUCGGAAAUGGAUUGUUGAGCAGCUUCUGGCUCGGAAAUGGAUUGUUGAGCAGUGUGGUAGUUUUCUGCUAACCGACUACCAAAUUGCCUCCACUGUAUCACCUCUUUAUUAUAAUAUGCUCGGAAAUUGAUUGACUUAUCUCCACUAUUUGCUUUGAAUUUUAUCGUUUCCAGAUCAGAUCCAACAUCUUGUAAAUCAACAUCAUUAAGGACCUCAAAUUGUUUUGCUACAACAUGUGGACGAUGAUGCUCCACAUAGUUGUAGCAAAAUAGAGGGGCGACGACAGUACGAUACUGGAUCUGAUCAUGUAGGUGGGGGGCAACGUGUCUAAAUUGUAUGGAUGCCAUGUAAUUGGUCUCACAUCUGCUUCGAUAUUCUAUGUUAUACAAAAAAAAGAUAAAGAUUAAAAAAUAAAGAUACAAUUAGUAUUAUAUAAUAAUGGUUUGUAAAAUUCUUACCUCCUCCGUUCUCAGGAGGUCAUGUACCAAAUUCAACUUCAAUUGUAAUGGGAUGUUGGCCUUCUUUGGGUGGAUUUUGCCGGUUUUCUCAAGUGACUCUAUCAAAUAUGCCAGUUUUGGCUUAUCAUGAGCCUGAUUUUCCUCCACAGCAUUAUUGAAGAUCGAAUAAAGACCUCUAAAAUGAGAAAAGAAGAAGCCCUAUGAAAAAAAAAAGUUGGUGAAAAAAUUAUCAAAAAAAGAGAUAAGGAAAAAAAAAUGAUAAGAAAAAAAUGCUCUUACCAUUAUAAGCCAGGUGAAGCCGUCAAUUGCCUUAUCAUCGGUCUUCCAUCCCUUCAUACCUUGAUACAAGUAUGCUAACAUUGCAGCUCCCCAAGCAUAGGAGUUAACUUCGUCCAAUUUUUCGAUAAAUUGGACGUAAGAAGUCUUGCAAUUUUGUCCAUUCCCAUUUGGAGCAAUCAGGCAUGUCACAAUCAUGAGAAGGACAGCCUUGAUCCUCUCAUCAUCAUUUCUAUUUGUAUCACAACAAAUAUUUCUCAACGUGACUAGGGAAAGUAGAGAUGAAUUUUCUGAAAAAAGUCGAUUGAAAGCAUCUCGAUCUCUAUUGUCAAUGGGGACAAUUGGUCGGCCUAUAAUAGGCAAAUGGGUCAAAAAUAAAACGUCCUCCAAUGUGACGUUCAUGCGUUGUUGACCACAGACCUGAAAAUAAAAAUCAUUUUCUCUAUGUUCAUAAAGUGUCAUGAACUCUUGCAGCAAAUAUGUUGAAAUUUCCACACGUCUAUUGGGGAUAAGUCUCAACAAAGAACUACCAUCACCAUUAUUAUCAAUUCUGUUGUUAAUUAAGGCUUUAAAGUCUUCAUCUAAUUUUGACCACAAAUCGCACAAAGUUGGCAGUUUUGAACUUCCUUUUGCUUUUGUUGCCAUUUCCUGCAUUCAUAUAGUCACAUAUAAUAUUAAUUUAACACCAAUCAAACUGAUGCGAACCCGAAAAAACCGCAACUUACAAAAUAUAUAAGAAAUGGAUAAAAAUGCACAAAUAUGAAAAUAGUGUAUUAUUUCUAAAACUGUGCAAUACAAAAUCCACAGACAGCAAGAUCUAUUCGCUCUACAUAGCACACAUUAACUAGCUCAGUAAAAGUCUUGAAUUUAUGUUGGGAAGAAAUAGGUUCCAUGUGUACGGAUAUUUGCUCACAUGCAUCUAAAACCACUGCUCCAUACAUGUCAGAACUUGCAGAAGGUGUUAAUGGAGAAGAAUUAGGAACCUUAUCUGUACUUGUAUCUGAUAUGAAGACAAAAUUAAGGAGGAUAUUGAAAGUUGAUGCCGCAAUUUGUGCAACUUUCGUCUGUAAACCUUGCCACAUUUCCAUACCAUCAUGGCUAACUAAGACAGUUCCAUCUGUAUCGACAUUAACCAAAAUAACAACUCCUUGAGUCUCAAACUGUGGAAGCACAACUGAGAUUAGACCAAGGUUCGGAGGUGUCGAUGAAUGAGUAACAAUAAUAAGCUCUAUAUUGGCAUGCCGAAGAGACAAAGUGGACACAUAUGAAGCGGUUGGUAAGAGAAAGUUAAAGUUCAGCCUCUUGAGUGACGGCGGAGCGCAUGCCAGAGACGCCGGUGACAUGGAUGAAAAAGUUGACAAAGUUUGCAUAAUAUCAGUCACCACACUAUUUUCAAUCGAAUCCAAUGAAAGUACACCUUGAGAUUGGAUACGAAAGACCCUAUUUUUUUGAACACAGAAACUCUUACUGAUACAGGUCAGGGUCAAUGCUAACAGUGGUGUCUACAUGGGUGAAUUCCAUAUUGCAAGAGUAACCAUUGAACAAUACUCAACCUAAAAUAACCAUACUCGAUUCCUAAAUCCACAAGAGAAUCCCUAAAUUGAAAUUAACUAACUCCCCAAAAUCAUAAUACAGAGGUAUUGCUUAUAUCCUAAUUUCACAAUCCCCAAAAAUGAAAGAAGAAAAAAAGAACUUACCCAACGCCAAAGCAAUGUCAAUCAGAGAUUAGUGAUCGGUGUUAACAGUGGCAAAUGGAACCCGCGGCGGUGGUGGACGAUGAGCUUCGACAAAAUCUGCGAACAAAGCCAAAGAAAGAGAAGAAGCGGUGUGGCACUGUGUGUUGAGAGAAAGAGAAGAAGCGUAUGGCACUGUGUGUUGAGAGAAAGAGAAGUGGAAGCGGAAGCGGUGUGUUGAGAGAAAGAGAAGUGGAAGCGGUAUGUUGUGUGUUAAAAAAACGUUCAUAAGUGGAGGGAAGUUACAUUAACAAACCUAUAUUUUUUACCCAGAAUGCUUCUAAUAUGUAAAUAACAUAGUUAUAAUGAAUUUUUUUCUUAUUAUAUUUAUAAUUAAUAAUUGAUUAAAAAAUGGUUAAAAAAUAUCUAUCUAUUUAUUCUAAAUCCAAAAUUCAAAGUUGUACAAACUUUGGUGAUAAUCAUAACCCUAAUGCUUAUGUGACAUUCUCUCUAACCGCCAAUGGGACGACGAUAAUAUGGUAAUCUCAUAUGCUUCAAAAUCAACCGCCAACAUCUCACAUGCAUCUAUCACAUUGUUAAAAUUUGGCAAAUAAAAAACUACAUUUUCUUAAUUAAAAACGUAAUUAUAUAUUCAUAAGAUAACAUGCACCGCUGAUUACUUUUCAUAACUAAAACCAUAACAUAAUUAAAUAUUUUACCUGCACUAGUGCUAUUCUCAAUAUUGGGUGAUUGGUGAUCACUUGCCGUCUCGGAAGUGGAUGCUUCAAUAUCACCUGCCGUCUCAGAAGUGGAUGCUUCAAUAGUCUGGAAGUUUUGUGCAAACCGCCUAUCGAUAUCCUCCCAUUGUCUCGUCUCUUUUUUAAAAUGUGCUUCAAAAUUGAUGGGAUUAUUGCCUUUAUUUCCCUUUGAAAUAAUCACUCCCAUAUCAGAUCCAACACCGGUCAAGUUAAUAUCAUCAAGUUCCUCGAACUGCUUUGCUACAACAUUUGGAUAUUGAGGCACCACAUAGUUGUAGCAAAACAAUGGGGCGACGAUAGUACGGUAAUCUCAUAUGCUUCAAAAUCAACCGCAAACAUUUCACAUGCAUCUAUCACAUUAUUAAAAUUUGGCAAAUAAAAAACUACAUUUUCUUAAUUAAAAACGUAAUUAUAUAUUCAUAAGAUAACAUGCACCGCUGAUUACUUAUCAUUAUUCAUAACUAAAACCAUAACAUAAUUAAAUAUUUUACCUCCACUAGUGCUAUUCUCAAUAUUGGGUGAUUGGUGAUCAUUUGCCGUCUCAGAAGUGGAUGCUUCAAUAUCACCUGCCCUCUCAGAAGUGGAUGAUUCAAUAGUCUGGAAGUUUUGUGCAAACCGCCUAUCGAUAUCCUCCCAUUAUCUCAUCUCUUUUUUAAAAUGUGCUUUAAAAUUGAUGGGAUUAUUGCCUUUAUUUCCCUUUGAAAUAAUCACUCCCAUAUNNNNNNNNNNNNNNNNNNNNNNNNNNNNNNNNNNNNNNNNNNNNNNNNNNNNNNNNNNNNNNNNNNNNNNNNNNNNNNNNNNNNNNNNNNNNNNNNNNNNNNNNNNNNNNNNNNNNNNNNNNNNNNNNNNNNNNNNNNNNNNNNNNNNNNNNNNNNNNNNNNNNNNNNNNNNNNNNNNNNNNNNNNNNNNNNNNNNNNNNNNNNNNNNNNNNNNNNNNNNNNNNNNNNNNNNNNNNNNNNNNNNNNNNNNNNNNNNNNNNNNNNNNNNNNNNNNNNNNNNNNNNNNNNNNNNNNNNNNNNNNNNNNNNNNNNNNNNNNNNNNNNNNNNNNNNNNNNNNNNNNNNNNNNNNNNNNNNNNNNNNNNNNNNNNNNNNNNNNNNNNNNNNNNNNNNNNNNNNNNNNNNNNNNNNNNNNNNNNNNNNNNNNNNNNNNNNNNNNNNNNNNNNNNNNNNNNNNNNNNNNNNNNNNNNNNNNNNNNNNNNNNNNNNNNNNNNNNNNNNNNNNNNNNNNNNNNNNNNNNNNNNNNNNNNNNNNNNNNNNNNNNNNNNNNNNNNNNNNNNNNNNNNNNNNNNNNNNNNNNNNNNNNNNNNNNNNNNNNNNNNNNNNNNNNNNNNNNNNNNNNNNNNNNNNNNNNNNNNNNNNNNNNNNNNNNNNNNNNNNNNNNNNNNNNNNNNNNNNNNNNNNNNNNNNNNNNNNNNNNNNNNNNNNNNNNNNNNNNNNNNNNNNNNNNNNNNNNNNNNNNNNNNNNNNNNNNNNNNNNNNNNNNNNNNNNNNNNNNNNNNNNNNNNNNNNNNNNNNNNNNNNNNNNNNNNNNNNNNNNNNNNNNNNNNNNNNNNNNNNNNNNNNNNNNNNNNNNNNNNNNNNNNNNNNNNNNNNNNNNNNNNNNNNNNNNNNNNNNNNNNNNNNNNNNNNNNNNNNNNNNNNNNNNNNNNNNNNNNNNNNNNNNNNNNNNNNNNNNNNNNNNNNNNNNNNNNNNNNNNNNNNNNNNNNNNNNNNNNNNNNNNNNNNNNNNNNNNNNNNNNNNNNNNNNNNNNNNNNNNNNNNNNNNNNNNNNNNNNNNNNNNNNNNNNNNNNNNNNNNNNNNNNNNNNNNNNNNNNNNNNNNNNNNNNNNNNNNNNNNNNNNNNNNNNNNNNNNNNNNNNNNNNNNNNNNNNNNNNNNNNNNNNNNNNNNNNNNNNNNNNNNNNNNNNNNNNNNNNNNNNNNNNNNNNNNNNNNNNNNNNNNNNNNNNNNNNNNNNNNNNNNNNNNNNNNNNNNNNNNNNNNNNNNNNNNNNNNNNNNNNNNNNNNNNNNNNNNNNNNNNNNNNNNNNNNNNNNNNNNNNNNNNNNNNNNNNNNNNNNNNNNNNNNNNNNNNNNNNNNNNNNNNNNNNNNNNNNNNNNNNNNNNNNNNNNNNNNNNNNNNNNNNNNNNNNNNNNNNNNNNNNNNNNNAAAAAAAAGAUAAAGAUUAAAAAAUAAAGAUACAAUUAGUAUUAUAUAAUAAUGGUUUGUAAAAUUCUUACCUCCUCCGUUCUCAGGAGGUCAUGUACCAAAUUCAACUUCAAUUGUAAUGGGAUGUUGGCCUUCUUUGGGUGGAUUUUGCCGGUUUUCUCAAGUGACUCUAUCAAAUAUGCCAGUUUUGGCUUAUCAUGAGCCUGAUUUUCCUCCACAGCAUUAUUGAAGAUCGAAUAAAGACCUCUAAAAUGAGAAAAGAAGAAGCCCUAUGAAAAAAAAAAGUUGGUGAAAAAAUUAUCAAAAAAAGAGAUAAGGAAAAAAAAAUGAUAAGAAAAAAAUGCUCUUACCAUUAUAAGCCAGGUGAAGCCGUCAAUUGCCUUAUCAUCGGUCUUCCAUCCCUUCAUACCUUGAUACAAGUAUGCUAACAUUGCAGCUCCCCAAGCAUAGGAGUUAACUUCGUCCAAUUUUUCGAUAAAUUGGACGUAAGAAGUCUUGCAAUUUUGUCCAUUCCCAUUUGGAGCAAUCAGGCAUGUCACAAUCAUGAGAAGGACAGCCUUGAUCCUCUCAUCAUCAUUUCUAUUUGUAUCACAACAAAUAUUUCUCAACGUGACUAGGGAAAGUAGAGAUGAAUUUUCUGAAAAAAGUCGAUUGAAAGCAUCUCGAUCUCUAUUGUCAAUGGGGACAAUUGGUCGGCCUAUAAUAGGCAAAUGGGUCAAAAAUAAAACGUCCUCCAAUGUGACGUUCAUGCGUUGUUGACCACAGACCUGAAAAUAAAAAUCAUUUUCUCUAUGUUCAUAAAGUGUCAUGAACUCUUGCAGCAAAUAUGUUGAAAUUUCCACACGUCUAUUGGGGAUAAGUCUCAACAAAGAACUACCAUCACCAUUAUUAUCAAUUCUGUUGUUAAUUAAGGCUUUAAAGUCUUCAUCUAAUUUUGACCACAAAUCGCACAAAGUUGGCAGUUUUGAACUUCCUUUUGCCUUUGUUGCCAUUUCCUGCAUUCAUAUAGACAUAUAAUAUUAAUUUACCCAAUCAAACUAAAAAAUGAUGGAACCCGAAAACCGCAACUUACAAAUAUAUAGAAUGGAUAAAAUGCACAAUAUGAAAUAGUGUUUAUUUCUAAAAUUGUGCAAUACAAAAUCCACGCAGCAAAGAUCUUAUCGCUCUACAUAGCACCUUAACUAGCUCAGUAAAAGUCAUUGAUUUAUGUUGGAAGAAAUAGGUUCCAUGUACGGAUAUUCUGUCACCUGCCAUCUAAAACCACUGCUCCUACAUGUCAGACUUGUAGAAGUGUUAAUGUGAGAGAAUUAGGACUAUCUGUACUUGUAUCUUUGAUAUGAAGACAAAAUUUAAGGGGAUAUGAAGUGAUGCGCAUGUUUUGCACUUUCGUCUGUAAACCUUUGCCACAUUUCCAUAACCAUCAAUGGGCCCUAACAAGACAGUCCAUCUGUAUCGUCAUUACACCAAAAUAACAACUCCUUGAGUCUCAAACUGUGGAAGCACAACUGAGAUUAGACCAAGGUUCGGAGGUGUCGAUGAAUGAGUAACAAUAAUAAGCUCUAUAUUGGCAUGCCGAAGAGACAAAGUGGACACAUAUGAAGCGGUUGGUAAGAGAAAGUUAAAGUUCAGCCUCUUGAGUGGCGGCGGAGCGCAUGCCAGAGACGCCGGUGACAUGGAUGAAAAAGUUGACAAAGUUUGCAUAAUAUCAGUCACCACACUAUUUUCAAUCGAAUCCAAUGAAAGUACACCUUGAGAUUGGAUACGAAAGACCCUAUUUUUUUGAACACAGAAACUCUUACUGAUACAGGUCAGGGUCAAUGCUAACAGUGGUGUCUACAUGGGUGAAUUCCAUAUUGCAAGAGUAACCAUUGAACAAUACUCAACCUAAAAUAACCAUACUCGAUUCCUAAAUCCACAAGAGAAUCCCUAAAUUGAAAUUAACUAACUCCCCAAAAUCAUAAUACAGAGGUAUUGCUUAUAUCCUAAUUUCACAAUCCCAAAAAAUGAAAGAAGAAAAAAAGAACUUACCCAACGCCAAAGCAAUGUCAAUCAGAGAUUAGUGAUCGGUGUUAACAGUGGCAAAUGGAACCCGCGGCGGUGGUGGACGAUGAGCUUCGACAAAAUCUCGCGAACAAAGCCAAAGAAGAGAAGAGCGGUGUGGCACUGUGUGUUGAGAGAAAGAGAAGAAGCGUAUGGCACUGUUCUGGUGAAGAAAGAGAAGUGGAAGCGGAAGCGGUGUGUUGAGAGAAAGAGAAGUGGAAGCGGUAUGUUGUGUGUUAAAAAACGUUCAUAAGGGGAGGAGUUACAUUAACAACCUAUAUUUUUACAGAAUGUUCUAAAUGUAAAUACAUAGUUAUAUGAAUUUUUUCUUAUUAUAUUUAUAAUUAAUAAUUGAUUAAAAAAUGGUUAAAAAUAUCUAUCUAUUUAUUCUAAAUCCAAAUUCAAAGUUGUACAAACUUUGGUGAUAAUCAUAACCCUAAUGCUUAUGUGACAUUCUCUCUAACCGCAAUGGCGACGACGAUAAUAUCCGCUAAUCUCAUAUGCUUCAAAAUUCCAACCAGCCAACAUCUCCCAUGCUCUAUCACAUUGUUAAAAUUUGGCAAAUAAAAAACUACAUUCUUAUUAAAACUAUUAUAAUUUAUACGAUAACAUGCACGCUUGAUACUUUUCAUAACUAACCAUAACAUAAUUAAAAUUUUUAUCUGCCACUAGUGCUAUUCUCAAUAUUGGGUGAUUGGUGAUCACUUGCCGUCUCGGAGUGGGAUGCUUCAAUAUCACCUGCCGUCUGAGUGGGAUGCUUCAAUAGUCUGGAAGUUUUGUGCAAACCGCUAUGAUAUCCUCCCAUCUGUCUCGUUCUUUUUAAAAUUGCUCAUCAAAAAUUGAUGGAAUUUAUUCUUAUUCACCUUUGAAAUAAACACCUCUCCUAUCAGAUCCACAACCCGGUCAAGUUAAUAUCAUCAAGUUCCUCGACUGCUUUGCUACAACAUUUGGAUUUGACGGCACCACAUAGUUGUAGCAAAACAAUGGCACCAGCGCNNNNNNNNNNNNNNNNNNNNNNNNNAUUCCACGACAGCAGAUCUUUCGCUCUCAUAGCCAUACUAGCUCAGUAAAAGUCUUGAAUUUAUGUUGGGAAUAGGUUCCUGUGUACGGAUAUUGCUCACAUGCAUCUAAAACCACUGCUCUACAUGUCAGACUUUGAAGGUGUUAAUGAGAGAAUUAGGAACCUUAUCUGUACUUGUAUCUGAUAUGAAGCAAAAUUAGGGGAUAUUGAAGUUGAUGCCGCAUUUGUGCAACUUUCGUCUGUAAACCUUGCCACAUUUCCAUACCUCAUGGCUAACUAGACAGUUCUUGUAUCGACAUCCAAAUAACAACUCCUGUGGUCUAAACUGUGGAAGCACAACUGAGAUUAGACCAAGGUUCGGAGGUGUCGAUGAAUGAGUACACAUAAUAAGCUCUAUAUUGGAUGCCGAAGAGACAAAGUGACACAUAUGAAGCGGUUGGUAAGAGAAAGUUAAAGUUCAGCUCUUGAGUGGCGGCGGAGCGCAUGCAGAGACGCCGGUGGACAUGAUGAAUGAAAGUUGACAAGUUUGCAUAUAUCAGCACCACACUAUUUUCAAUCGAAUCCAUGAAAGUCACCUUGAGAUUGGAUACGAAAGACCUAUUUUUUUGACACAGAAACUCUUACUGAUACAGGUCAGGGUCAAUGCAACAGUGGUGUCACUGGGUGAUCCAUAUUGAACAUUGACAAUACUAACUAAAUACCAUACUCGAUCCUAAUCCAAGAGAAUCCCUAAAUUGAAUUAACUAACUCCCAAUAUCUACAGAUAUGCUUAUAUCCUUUUCACAAUCCCAAAAAUGAAGAAGAAAAAAGACUUACCCAACGCCAAAGCAUGUCAAUCAGAGUUAGUGAUCGGUGUUAACAGUGCAAAUGGACCGCGGCGUGGUGGACGAUGAGCUUCGACAAAUCUGCGAACAAGCCAAAGAAAGAGAGAGCGGUGUGGCACUGUGUGUUGAGAGAAGAGAAGAAGCGUAUGGCACUGUGUGUGAGAGAAAGAGAAGUGGAAGCGGAAGCGGUGUGUUGAGGAAAGAGAGUGGAAGCGGUAUGUUGUGUGUUAAAAAACGUUCAUAGUGAGGGAAGUUACAUUAACAACCUAUAUUUUUUCCAGAAUGCUUCUAAUAUGUAAAUACAUAGUUAUAAUGAAUUUUUUCUUUAUUUAUAAUUAAUAUUGAUUAAAUGGUUAUAUCUAUCUAUUAUUCUAUCCAAAUUCAAAGUUGUACAACUUUGGUGAUAAUCAUAACCUAAUGCUUAUGUGCAUUCUCUCUACACCUUUUUAUUUCAAAUAACUUUUCUAUAUAUUCAACUAAUAUAUAUAAUAGAAUAUCCAAUCAAUAUUAUAAUAAUUAUAGAUAUAUAUAAUAUUCAAUCAAUAUUAAGAUUAAUAAUAAUAAACAAUUAUAUAACAUCUACUUUUAUUAUCUAAUAGCACUUUCUUAGAUAUUCAACUAAUAUAAUAUAAUAUAUAUAUUAAUCAAUAUAUAUAUAUAAUUUCCCCAUAUUAUUAUAUAUAUUAUUAUAUUAUAUUUAUAUAAUUAUAAUUAUUAUAUAUAUAUAUAUAUUAAAAUUUGAAAAUUGAAAGUGAAUAUAACCGUUUGUUACAAGACAAUUAGAGUAAUUAAUUUUAAAUUAGAAUUAAAAAUGAAAUUCAUUUUAGACAUUUUCUUCUUUCAAAUGGUUUUUUUUAACAAUCCUACUUUUCAAUAUAGCAAUUAUUGCUAUUUUUUUAAUUAUACCCUUCAAUUAUUAGUCUGUGCGAUUAUACCCUUCAUAAUCGCACGGCUGAGGGGGUCGUGAUGCUCGUCAUCGUCGCUGUGGUCGGACAGUGGUGAUGUGGAGCGAUGGUGGGGUUCGCCUCUUGUCUUCUUGUGGGAUGGGGAACCGCGGUUUUUGCGAGGGGGAGUAUGACCCCUCUUUUUGUCGACCGUUCUUUGUCUCUGAGGUAGAGACGAGGAACGGGUCUUCUCCAAGGCUUCAAUGCGCUGGGCUUGUUGUAAGAGGAGAGUAUUCGUAUGGUUGAGAGCGGAGAGGACGACGACCAAUGCGGGAUCUGCAUUGGUCGACAAGGAUGCUGAAAGUUGAGGGACGACGGGCUCGUCCGUGGGGUUCUGGUUAAGUUGGUUCUCCAAAAGAGGAUCUUGAUGACCAGCGUCUUCGGAAUCAGGUGAGGCGGUUCGACCGUCUUUUCGGUCGAGCAAAUCUUGAAGUACGGGUGAGAUAUCUAGUCGGGUUUGUUGGCAGGAGAAGAAAAGUUGUUGUUGCCAGAAGGGAGAUUUGUGACACCCUUAAAUUUAUUAAUUAUUAGUAUUUAUUAUUAUUAUUAUUUUAUAAUAAUAUUGUGUGUCCUUUAAUUUAUUAUGUGUUUUGUGUGUUAAUUGGAAUUAUUUGAAUAUGAGUAUUAUUUAAAUAAUUGGAUUUUAUGAGUAUUAUUGUGUUUAUUUGUUAUUGGGCCUAAGUGGUAGUAAUAAGUAAAUGGGGAGUGUUAAUUACUAAGCCCAAUAAGAAUAGAAUUAGUAAGGGUUAAUGUAAGAAUUAUAGUUAGUAUUGUUAUUUUGGAGAAAGAGAGAAGAAUAGAGAGAAGAGAAGAGAAAAGGAAGAAGAAGAAGAGGCAACCCUAAUUCCAUUUCUUCAAGAGGUAAGGGGGAGAAUCUUCAUUAUUGUUCAAUUACAUGUUGUUAGGUAAUGAUUAGAGUAAUGGUAGAUGUUUGGGUAUUCAUGAAAUUGAGUUUUCAACUCACAAUGUUAGGGUUUUGAUUUGGGAAUUUGAUGAAUUGACUAGAUUUAGUGAUAUGUAUAGGUUCCCUAUGUUAGAUACAUGUUAAAGGAUGUAUUUGUGUUGUUAAAUCACUGCUGGAACAUGUUUUGGAUGGUGGGAAUCGGACUGGUGUAGUGCUGUUGCGCUUUGGCAGAGUUGCUGUCUGCGCAAGGGCGUUGAGCGCACGGGGUGCCGCUCAGCGCGAUGUGCUGUAUGCAGAAAAAUAUUUUCUUUAAUUAGGGAGUUAUGCUUUGGGGGUUUGAUACAUAUUGAUUUAUCAUUAAUUUACAUGAGUUUAGAUGUAUGAAUUGAUGAGCUUUGGAUCAUGUUUGAAUCGAUUUUCAUUGAUAAUGUGAAACUUGAGUUUUGAAGAAUAUGUUAUGUUUUUAGUUGAAUCUCAUAAUGUAAACUUGUUGGCUUGGUUUCUAUACAUGAUUCGUGAUAUAUGUUGGUAACCUAAGCUAUGUGUGAUGAUUAAUUCAUGGAUUACAUGCUAAUUGUGAAUUUGAUGUAUAUUAUGCCAUGAAUGGAUUUUGGUGAGGUAGUUAUGCUAAGUUGUUUCUAAUGCUUGUGAGUCACAUGAGUCUUUUAUGAUUGUGAGUCUUGAUUUUAUGCUUUGUGCUAAUUGUUACAUGUACGUGAACUAUUUGAAUUGAUGAUGUAUAUACUAAAUAUCCUAAUCGUGUACAUGCUUUAUAUGAAUGGAAAGUGAAGAAUAUGCUAUGUGAAUGUAUACUUGGAAGUGUGUUGAAUUCAUAAUUGUUGUAUGUGCUAUUCUUUAUUAUUACUUGAAUGACAUAUAAUUGUUUAAUGAUGUGAAUUCUCACCCUUCUGCUUAGAUGUUGCCUUUACAUGGGUAACGUGCAGGUUCAGAGGAUAGUGGUGCUCCGCACGAGGCUAGUGAGGAGUAGUCUUAGAUCUAUUUCCUAUCCUUAGGUAGUUGAUCAUUUGCUCUAAUCAUGUAACACGGGGUAACUGGAUAUUAUGUCUGACUUGAUAUAUUAUACUUUAUUUUUUCUUGUCUGGAUUUAUGUUAUGGAUGUGAUACUAUUCUGAUGUGGCAUUGUAGCCGAUGUAUGAAUCCUUGUUAACUGUUUAUGUUAUGGAUUUGCUACUUGUAUCCAAUGAUUAUAGUAUGGGAUGUAAUCAUUCAUAGUAUCCGAGUUUCUUUUAUUAUUCCGAUGUUUAAUGCAUGAUUUCGAUUUAUGACAUGAUAAUUCAGUUAUGUGUUAAAGAUUCAUGAUCAGUAG
rnacentral:lncRNA from 1 species